UGCAUUAAUUCCGCAGUGACGAUUGAUGGAGUAGUGCCGUAUUUGCGAAUCUAGUAGCUGGUCUAGUGUUAAUAUCCAGAUCGACUCUAGUACUACCUCCGUCCCGGUGUAUAAGUCAUUCGCGUAGUUCUAGGUCGAUAAUUUAACUAUCUAAAUAUGUAUUAUAUGUGACAAAAAAUAUAUAUUUAGAAACUACAUCCGUGUGGAAAUCUAGUGGUAUACUUUUCAUGACAUAUAACACAUAUUUAAUUCCUCAAAUCGAUGACCUAGAACUACGCGAAUGACUUAUACACCCGGACGGAGGGAGUAUUUGGGCUAUGCUUUGCUUGCUAUAUAAUUAGACUGGAUGGAUUGUGGCUAUCUUCGAUGUAUUCGACCUUAAUUUUCUCUAUAUGUGAUCGUCAGACAUGAGUUAUAUGCUUAUUUAGCACCAGCUUCGGUAUAAUCGAUGCUGCUGAAAUUGCUGCCGUGUAUAUCCAUGUUGCUGCUUUGUAUAAUUCGACCUUUAAGUUUCACAGUCUUCCCAACCAAACAACUUCAGAAGGGAAAAUGUGUAGACCCUUUUAAGUUAUUUGCUCGAAAAAAAGAGAGUAAAUACAUGGAGCUAACUUUGCAGUGUAUGUGAGCGCCCCAUUACAAAUACGUGGGCAAUCCCAAAUAUGUAGGCACGAGUUGAGUCCAACUGACAAGUGUAAUUCCCACAUAAAUACAGUUUACAUAGAGCUAUUGAUGGAUGACCCCACCGAUGUAUACAUGCAGAUAUUGUGCACCCAUGUAGGCUAAUGGUCUAGACAUAAUUAGCUCCCCUUCCCACCCGAUGACUCUGAUUCGCUCCAAGGAUGGGAGUAGGUGACCUCUCGGAUGGUCGGGAGGCCAACAUUUUCGUCGUUGUUCGUGAAGUAGAUUGGUUCGCCGAUAUUGCUUUCCUCGUCGUUCGUGAAGUAGAUUGGUUCUCCGAUACAGCUUUCGUCGUCAGAGAUCGACACGACAUCGACUACGUUUGUACUGUCGCUGGUGGUGAAGCUGGUGACGAUGCAGUCCUCUGGCGUGUGGCCGAUGAGGCAGUUGCCGCAGACAAUCGCGACGAGCUGAGAGGUUUGCGCGGGCCGCUCUGGGCAUAUGAAGCCGGAGCAACCCCGAGCCCCCGUUAUCCGGGGAGAGGGCUCCGCCCACUUGUUGCCGUUGUAAGGUUCCGACGCCCAUGGCGAGAGAGUUUGGGGGCCAGAUUGUAUGGAGGUUGGUGGCGUGGACGUUAAAGCCGUGGGCGACAUCAUGAUCUGUUGGUCUUGGGGCCUCCUCGGGAGAAUGCAUUUGUUGCCGGUGAUCAUGGCAAUUGUUGGGUUCACCUUGGUCGUGGUGUUUGGGUGGGCCGCUGGGUUGACAUUGACCCGGCCUGCUCCGUCAACGAUGAAGGUGAGAGAGCCUAAGAGGCUAAGAUUAGGCUUUCUCACGGCGAGAGGCCGCCGAGACACGAAGAAGAUCCGAUCUAAGACCAGUCUCCAGCCGACACCACCCGUGCCUGGCGCGCCAACUGACGGUGCAAAAUACCGGCAGAUCCCUCGAUAGAGGUCCAAGCGCAGCUGGAAGUCUUAGAUCGGGAGAUCACACAAGGGUUUUACCUAGGUUCAGGCCUCCGAGGAGUAAUACCCUACAUCCUGCUUGUUUUGAUUAUUCAUGGUGGAGGAAUACCUUGUGCGAGGGGUUACAAUGGUGUAUGAGAUUGCUACCGAAGGUUUCUAUCUGAAAAUAGAUCGAAAAUGAGGGUUCCCUAGCCUCCCCUUGUAUAGGCGGUGGAGGACUAGGGUUGACGGAGUGGUAGAUGCGAUCACCUUCGCUGCUGCCCUUGUCUUGAAGGAUAAGAAGCUCUCCAGAGCCCUCCUUAGGGUUUCUCCCUUGUCUUGGGCCUUAUGGGCCCCUGGUCAAGCCUGGUCGGGCUCCCUUGGGUGAGCCACCCCCGGUGUAUGACAUCUUCAGAAAGGUAUUGUAAGCCAUAAAUACUUGCACGAUCUUCAUAUGCCCAUCACAAUCAAAAACACAAAAGAGAAAGUAAAGAGCGAUUGUAUGCCUAAUAAUAUCAGGUAGGAAAACUUUAAAGCGAGAGGCCACCAUCUUUUGUUCUUGAUUACGGAUAAUAUUUUAGUGGCUUACAUGUGCUUCCAUACAAUCAAGAACAAAAGAGAAAGUAAAGGGCGAUUGUGUGCUAUAAAACUAGAUAUUCACAAAGCUUAUGGCCGAGUUGAGUGGCCUUUUCUGAAGGAUAUUAUACCGAGUCUUGGUUUCCGUGAAAAUUUGGUAAAUUUUAUAUGCAACGCAUCUCAACAGUUGAAUGCCAAGUUUAGUUUAAUGCAGAGGAAAGUGAAAUUUUUAUGCCUAUAAGGGGGUUAAGGCAGGGUGACCCGUUGUCACCUUACCUAUUCUUAUUGUGCACGAAGGGGAUGACUGCUUUUCUCACACUCGCGGAGGAAAAUGAAAAUAUUUCAGGAGUGAAAGUCUGCAGAAAAGCCCCACCUAUUAUAAUUUUUUCUCAUUGCCGAUGACUCACUCGUUCUUAGAAAAAUUAACCUGCGCGGUGCGGAGGCUCUAAAAUCAGCUCGAGAAUCAUAUUGUGCGGCUUCGAGGCAAUUGGUUAGUGUUGAUAAAUCCAACAUCUUUUUUAGCUCUAUUACAAAGAUGGAGAUCAGAGAACAAAUAUGUACCAUGCGGAAUAUAAUGACUGAUGCCCUUAAUGAUAGAUAUUUUGGUCUUGCCAGCCAAUGUGGGAUUAGAUAAAAUCAUAAAACCGAUUGCUUCCAAUACUUAAUUGAAUGUAUUAUUAUGAAAAUCAAUGGUUGGAAGGAAAAAUUACUUUCUGCCAAAGGAAUGGAGAUCCUUCUCAAGUCUAUUUUUCAAGCCACCUACCUAUGCAAUGUAGGUCUUUAAAAUUCCUAAUUUUUUUGUGAAGGAACUAUUUAUGUAAUGGCACAUUUCUCGUGGGGAGAUGAGAAGAACGAGAGGAGGAUGCAUGGGAUGGCAUGGUAGAAAAAGUGUGUCCCUAAAAAGUGUGUACUACCUGUAAUGAGCUUGUAUUGAUGUAAAUUCUUACAACAAUUUCUUAAUUUUAUCCGCAUGUGAGAAACAUACCGUCAAUACUUAACAAUAUUUUCACUAUUGUCCUAUGAUCAACAAUUUGAUCAUUCUGAUAACUUUACUCACAACUAACUUGGAGUACUCGACAUAUCUGGUUGUUUACAUAACAUGGAAUACAAGUGUGACUGAAAUCAUAUAUUUCGCUCAUAAGUAUUCCAGGAACCGAUUCUCGCUAAAACUCUUUCCAUGUAACUUUGAAAAUAAACUCUUCUUGAUGUUUUUCAUAAUACAUUGUUUUAGUAUCUUGUCAAUAUGUAUUUUGGAUAAGCCCGAUUAGACACUACUAUCCCCAUAGAUCACUAUGCCUGAUUCCAAUGCUCUAUUGCCUAAGUACUUUAUUGAAAAACUAGUUUCAAUAAACUUUUAAUUCAAGUCAAGAAAUUUAUAUAAUUUCCAAUUAACAAUUUUUCAUGCACACACAAUAUUUAGAAAUAUUAUCACACUCCACUUACUUUCUUGUAAAUACAAGAAUCUUUGCAUUCCUCGACGAAAUCAAAUUAUUCGAAUACUCCAUCAAAACAAAGAUUCAAUUCCGUUAUGAUUUAUUCAUUCCAUUAUAGGAUCUCUUGAAGUUUGCACACUUACUAGCAUCCUCUGGAUCGAAAAACUACCUUGGACUGUAUCACAUAUACAACCUUGGUUCUAUUUCCAUCUCAUGGAAAUCAUUUUGACAUCCAUCUAUUAUAUCUCAUAAUUGAAAUUUUUAACAAUUGCAAGUUUAACCCUAACUGGCUUUAAGUUUUGCUAUGAUGAGAUAAUUUCGUUAUAGUUAAGUUCCUGAUCUUCUCAUAAGCUAUUAGUAACAAGUCAAGCUUUAUAAAUCAUUUUUUAUUUUAUUUUUCAGUUUGUAGAUCCAUUACUUUUCAUCAGACUCCAAGUCUUCUGGCGGGUUUACCAAGUUCUAAACUUGAAUUAUACAAAUGGAUAAUAUCUCGGAUAACUUUGGCAUAUAGCCAAUUUGCGGAGUUAGGGACCAUCAACACUUAUUUUUGUAUUAUAUAUUCAUUGUUUGUUCAACAAUAUUUCGUCUACACACCACAAAGGUCUAUAUGAAUUUUGCCCAACCUAUAUAGCUUAGCUGCAGGUUCGACCGAAGUCUCUACAUCUCAUGUAAAGACUUUUAUAUCAGUCGCAGUAGGAAAUUCUAGAAUCACUUCUAGCGUUUCUUUUCUUUGACCUGAUCACGAAGAUUCUGCAACCUUGUCGAGGUACAUUGUCCUCCCACUCACUCUUUUGCACAAAACGUUUUCUUCAAAAUUUCAGCACUAUGUGGGAAAACACUUUGCCUCGGUGUAGUGAUAGAGGAAUACCCAACAAUUUGGGAUAACCUCCAAAGUAGCACUUAUUUCAAAAAAUUUGAUAGCGCACCCGCGCAAUGACACUAAAGUAAAAAAGUAAAAAAAAAAUCUGAAACUUCAUGGAAUUUUUUAUGAGCAAAUGUUUUACAAAUUGCAAUGUUUGGUCCCCAAAUAACAUCGAAUGCUCUCCAUAUGAAAUGAAAUACAAUCUCUUGCUCUGCACCCACAUUUUAGAUUUUAUAUUUUAGCACAAACUUUGUUAUUUUAUACAAAGCUCUAGGAUUUCAUUUGGCCAUAAAAUUUUGCAAGCACCUAAAACAUUUGCUCAUAACCGGAUCCGCAAAGUUUCAGAUUUUUUUGAUUUGUUUUGCUAAGUUUUAGAUCAUGGGUGUACCGGGAAUGCAUUGUCCACGGGUGUAGUGUUGGGGAACGUAGCAUGCAAUUUCAAAAAAAUUUCUACGACCACGCAAGAUCUAUCUAGGAGAUGCAUAGCAACGAGAGGGGGAGAGUGUGUCCACAUACCCUCAUAGACCAAAAGCGGAAGUGUUAGAUUAACUUGGUUUAUGUAGUCGAACGUCUUUUGCAAGCACCAAACGUAUGACACCUCAGAGUUCUGCACACGUUCAGCUCGAUGACGUCCCUCAAACUCUUGAUCCAGCAAAAUGUCGAGGGAGAGUUUCGUCAUCAUGACGGCGUGGUGACGGUGAUGGUGAUGUGAUCUACGAAUUUUGCGCAGGGCUUUGCCUAAGCACUACGAUGAUAUGACCGGAGGAGUAAACUAUGGAGGGGGGCACCGCACACAGCUAAGAACAAUUGAUGUGCUUUGGGGUGCCCCAUGCCCCCGUGUAUAAAGGAGGAGGGAGGCCGCUGGCCCUAGGGGGCGUGCCAUGGGGGGGAACCGACUAGGACUCCUAGACCAAGUCGGUCCCCCCUCCUUCUCUUGGAGGUGCAAAGGGGGAAGGAGAGGGAGAGGGGGAAGGAAAGGGGGGCCGCACCUCCUUCCCCUUGUCCAAUUCGUACAGCCCAUGGGGGGGCGCGCCACCCCUUGUGGGCUCGCCUCUCUCUCCCCUAUGGCCCAUUGAUACAUCUCCAACGUAUCUAUAAUUUUUGAUUGUUCCAUGCUAUUAUAUUAUCCAUCUAGGAUGCUUUAUAUGCAUUUAUAUGCUAUUUUAUAUGAUUUUUGGGACUAACCUAUUAACCUAGAGCCUAGUGCUAGUUUCUGCUUUUUCCUUGUUUUUCAGUUUUACAGAAAAGGAAUACCAAACGGAGUCCAAUUGACGUGCCAAUUUUUGACCAUUUUUUAUGGAACAAAAGAAGACCCUGGAGUAAAAGAGUUGGGCCAGAAGAGUUCCAUGCUGUCCACGAGGGUGGGGGGCGCACCCACCCCCCCGAACGCGCCGCCCUAUCUCGUGGACGACUCGGGCACCUCCCUGACUUGUUCCCGACGCCAAAAAUUCCUAUAAAUACUGAAACCUCCAGAAAAUAACCCAGAUCAGGAGUUCCGCUGCCGCAAGCCUCUGUAGCCACCAAAAACCAAUCGUGACCCUGUUCUGGCACCCUACCAGAGGGGGGAUCCCUCACCGGUGGCCAUCUUCAUCAUCCCGACGCUCUCCAUGACGAGGAGGGAGUAGUUCACCCUCGGGGCUGAGGGUAUGUACCAGUAGCUAUGUGUUUGAUCUCUCUCUCUCUCGUGUUCUUGAUAUGGCACGAUCUUGAUGUAUCACGAGCUUUGCUAUUAUAGUUGGAUCUUAUGAUGUUUCUCCCCCUCUAUCUCUUGUAAUGGAUUGAGUUUUCCCUUUGAAGUUAUCUUAUCGGAUUGAGUGUUUAAGGAUUUGAGAACACUUGAUGUAUGUCUUGCGUGGGAUACCCGUGGUGACAAUGAGGUAUUCUAUUGAUUCACUUGAUGUAUGUUUUGGUGAUCAACUUGCGGGUUCCGUGACCUUGGGAAUCUAUGCAUAGGGGUUGGCACACGUUUUCGUCUUGACUCUCCGAUAGAAACUUUGGGGCACUCUUUGAAGUUCUGUGUGUUGGUUGAAUAGAUGAAUCUGAGAUUGUGUGAUGCAUAUCGUAUAAUCAUACCCACGGAUACUUGAGGUGACAUUGGAGUAUCUAGGUGACAUUAGGGUUUGGGUUGAUUUGUGUCUUAAGGUGUUAUUCUAGUACGAAGCCUAUGAUAGAUCGAACGAAAAGAAUAGCUUUGUGUUAUUUUACUACGGACUCUUGAAUAAAUCGAUCAGAAAUGAUAACUUUGAGGUGGUUUCGUACCCUACAAUAAUCUUUUCGUUUGUUCUCCGCUAUUAGUGACUUUGGAGUGACUCUUUGUUGCAUGUUGAGGGAUAGUUAUAUGAUCCAGUUAUGUUAUUAUUGUUGAGAGAACUUGCACUAGUGGAAGUAUGAACCCUAGGCCUUGUUUACUAGCAUUGCAAUACUGUUUACGCUCACUUUUAUCGCUUGUUACCUUGCUCUUUUUAUAAUUUAAGAUUACAAAAACCUAUAUCUACCAUCCUUAUUGCACUUGUAUCACCAUCUCUUCGCCGAACUAGUGCACCUAUACAAUUUACCAUUGUAUUAGGUGUGUUGGGGACACAAGAGACUCUUUGUUAUUUGGUUGCAGGGUUGUUUGAGAGAGACCAUCUUCAACCUAUGCCUCCCACGGAUUGAUAAACCUUAGGUCAUCCACUUGAGGGAAAUUUGCUACUGUCCUACAAACCUAUGCACUUGGAGGCCCAACAAUGCCUACAAGAAAAAGGUUGCGUAGUAGACAUCAAGCAGUUUCUGGCGCUGUUGCCGGGGAGGUUAGUGCUUGAAGGUAUAGCUUUAGAUCUUGCAAUCGAAUCUUUUAGUUUUUUGUUUUAUCACUAUUUUAUUUUAUAAGAGAAAAAUACAAAAAAAUUGGAAUUAAGGUUGCCUCAUAUGCUUCAUCUUUUUAAUGUCUUUCAUGAAAAUGAUGGAAAGGAAAAUUGUGCUCAAGUACUAUAGGAAGAAUUACAUAGAAUGCUAGGCAUAAAAUAUGUGAAUGAUGAGCAUGAUUGCAAUGUUGUUAGUAUGAAUUCUAUGAAUAUCCAUGAUGCUAAUGAUAUGCAAAGCCACAAGCUUGGCGAUGCUAUGUUUGAUGAAGAUGAUAUGUUUUGUCCCCUAAGUUUUAAUGAGCAAAUUUAUUAUGAUGAUAGCAUGCCUCCUAUUUAUGAUGAUUAUAUUGAUGAAAGUGGGUUUGAAAGAGUGUCAACUUUAGGAAUUAAUGAUCCCACUAUUUUGGAGGAUGUUUAAUCUUAUUGUGAUAAUUAUGAAAGUGGAUUUGGAGAGGUCAUGACUUUAUUUAGUGAUGAUUCCACUAUUUCGGAAGAGGUUCCAAUUGAUUAUGAGAAUAAAGUUGCUAUCUAUGAAGAUUAUCGUGAUGACAUGUAUGUUAUAAAUAUUAAUUAUAACCAUGAAACUUGUCAUAAUGAUUUUUGUUUUCAAUUGGAUUAUGCCUCACAUGAUAAUUAUUUUGUUGAGUUUGCUCCCACUAUUAUUUAUGAGAAGAAAUUUGCUUAUGUGGAGAGUAAUAAAAAUUCUAUGCUUGUAGAUCAUGAAAAGAAUGCUUUAUAUGAUGGUUAGAUUGUUGAAUUCAUUCAUUAUGUUACUGAAAAUAAUUAUGAGGGAGGAACAUAUGCUUGUAGGAAUUGCAAUAAUAUCAAGUUUCCUCUCUAUGUGCUUAAAAUCUUGAAGCUAUGCUUGUUUUGCUUUCCUAUGCUAGUUGAUUAUUGUUCCCAUAAGUUGUUUGCUCACAAAAUCCCUAUGCAUAGGAAGUGGGUUAGACUUAAAUGUGCUAGUCAUAUUCUUCAUGAUGCUCUCUUUAUGUUUCAAUACUUAUCUUUUAUGUGAGCAUCAUUGAAAUCAUCAUGCCUAGCUAGGGGCGUUCAGCGUUAGCGCUUGUUGGGAGGCAACCCAGUUUUUAUAUUUGUUCCUUGCUUUUUGUUCCUGUUUAGUAAUAAAUAAUUCAUAUAUACUCUGUUUUGAUGUGUUUUAAUGUUUUAAUUAGUGUCUGUGCCUUUGUGAAGACUUGGGUGAAGUCUUUGUGAUCUUGCUGUAAAAAACAGAAACUUUAGCGCUCACGAGAUUAGCUGUCAGUUUUUACUGCAGAGUGAUUUUAGGCUGAUUCUUUUUAGCAGAACAUUAAUAGAUAAAUUCCUCACGUCCACCAAUUUAUUUUAGAAUUUUUGGAGUUCCAUAAGUAUACGUUUGAUACAGAUUAGUACAGACUGUUCUGUUUUUGACAGAUUCUGUUUUCUAUGUGUUGUUUGCUUAUUUUGAUGAAUCUAUGAGUAGUAUCGGAGGGUAUGAACCAUAGAGAAGUUGGAAUACAGUAGAUAUUACACCAAUAUGAAUUUAGAAUGAGUUCACAACAUUACCUAAGUGGUGAUUUAUUUUCUUAUACUAAUGAAGCUUACGAGUUUUCUGUUGAGUUUUGUGUUGUGAAGUUUUCAAGUUUUGGGUAAAGAUUCGAUGGACUAUGGAAUAAGGAGUGGCGAGAGCCUAAGAUUGGGGAUGCCCAAGGCUCACCAAGGUAAUAUUCAAGGAAAACCAAGAGCCUAAGCUUGGGGAUGCCCUGGAAGGCAUCCCCUCUUUCGUCUUCGUUCAUCGGUAACUUUAGUUGGAGCUAUAUUUUUAUUCACCACAUGAUAUGUGUUUUUCUUGGAGCUUCAUUUUAUUUCCUUUUGUUUUGAUUGUUAUUUGAAUAAAAUACCAAGAUCUGAAAUUCUUAAAUGUUAGAGAGUCUUCACAUAGUUGCAUAAUUAUUCAACUACUCAUUGAUCUUCACUUAUAUCUUUUGGAGUAGUUUGUCGUUUGCUCUAGUGCUUCACUUAUAUCUUUUUAGAGCACGGCGGUGGUUUUAUUUUGAAGAAAUAGAUGAAGUCUCAUGAUUCACUUAUAUUAUUUAGAGAGUCCUAAACAACAUGGUAAUUUGCUUUGGCUAUAAAAUUAGUCCUAAUAUGAUGGGCAUCCAAGAUGGGUAUAAUAAAAACUAUCAUAUAAAGUGCAUUGAAUACUACGAGAAGUUUGAUACUUGAUAAUUGUUUUGAGAUAUAAAGAUGGUGAUAUUAGAGUCGUGCUAGUUGAGUAAUUGUGAAAUUGAGAAAUACUUGUGUUGAGGUUUGCAAGUCCCGUAGCAUGCACGUAUGGUAACCGUUGUGCAACAAAUUUGAAGCAUGAGGUGUUCUUUGAUUGCCUUCCUUAUGAGUGGCGGUCGGGGACGAGCGAUGGUCUUUUCCUACCAAUCUAUCCCCCUAGAAGCAUGCGUGUAGUACUUGGUUUUGAUGACUUGUAGAUUUUUGCAAUAAGUAUGCGAGUUCUUUAUUACUAAUGUUGAGUCCAUGGAUUAUACACACUCUCACCCUUCCAUCAUCUCUAGCCUCUUCGGUACCGUGCUUUCGGCGUUCUGGGAAAGGGGGUACCCAGACUUGCCUGCCUGCGGCCUACGGCCUGCGGCGUGGCUCAGGGAGUGGCCCAGCACGGCCCAUCUUCAUCAACGCGUACUCAAGACCCUCGUGAGGGGCCAAGCCUCGCGGGGCGGAUGACAGGAGGCUUCCUCGGGCACGGCCUCGUCAGGCUGGCUCGCGAGGAGGCGGAGAGAUCAAGGCGGGGUACCUCACGAGGUGCCCAUGAUGCAAGCCAUGACGACCGAGGCCAGGCGGGCGCCAGCCUACGCAGAGUCCUUGUUUCCUCUUUGGUACAAAGGGGGCAAGUGCAGGCAAGAGUAUCAAGCAAAGGCAACCAUUUCGGUGCAACAAGACCAAGACCAGCAGGACGGCAGGAUGAAGGUCAUCGUGGAGCCCAAGCCGGCGUCAUCGUCAGGGUCUUUGGCAAGAGAGGACCAACUUUAGUCAGGAUAAGUGUACUAGAUGUUCCCCUUCAAAAUGGACAAUUGUUGGUGCCCUUCCCGCUCAAUAUUUGGGAAGAGGACCAGGGCCUCCGUCUAUAAAUAGGACUAGCCACCCAUAGGGUAGAGGCAUCUAGAUCUGGAUCUAGAUCUGGAGAGAGAGAGAGAGGCGACGGAACUCCCCCUAGCAGUUCAUCGCAGUAGUCAAGAACAGACCCUCGCGAGGCUGUUCUUCCUUGUACUGUCCGUCAUCAGCCCCUGAGGAAAUCCACACACCACAAACUGGAGUAGGGUAUUACACCACAAUGGUGGCCUAAACCAGUAUAAAUCUCGUGUCCCUUGUGUUGUUCUUCGUGUAGUUUUAGAUCCUUGUGAGGCGACGAGACAUGGGUAGGCAGGAGGUGUGAUCUCCGCGUGCACCCCAGAGUUCGAACCUUGAGGGUGUGCCGGAACCCGAAAUCUGACAUUUGGUGCGCCAGGUAGGGGUGCGCCGGAAUCCGCCUUCCGCCGCCUCGUGUUUCGCCGCCCGUCGCGUCCAUGUCAGACGCUCGUCGAGCCCGCGCCAAGCGCCGGGCCGCUCUCGCCACUCACGUCGCCCAGACGGCCCCCAUCGGCGGGUGCCCCCGCCGUUCCCCGUCACCUGCCGUCAACGCCGCCACCGGCCCGGCGGGGAAUGAGCAGCAGGCAUCGUCCCUGCAACCUUCGGUGCGGCGAGAAGGCUGCACCGCCACCCCGUCGCUGACUCCAGCCGGUUCCUCGUCCCACGCCCGUCACGCUCCUGUGGACGCGCACGCCGCGCUGCUCCUGCGAUGGGAGCUCCUGCACUACCGUCCCGUCGACGACCUCUACGACGAGUGGCUCGCCCGCAUCACCGAGCUUGUCAGCACCGCUGGGGGCUCCCCUGCGCCAUCCCUUUUGUUGCACCGUGCCCCGCCCUGCGUGGGCGACGAAGCUCCGGGGGCGCCUCAGCCGCCUCCCCCUCAAGAAGGCGCCUUGGCCCCAAGGCGCGUGGCCCCUGGGCGGAACCCACUCCGUCCGGCGCCAGCACAACAAGAGAAGAGCUGCCAAGAGAUCCCUCGCCCCCAAGAAGCCGCCCGUGUGCUCCCCGCACCGGCCCGGCACGAACACGCUCCUGCUCUAGCGCAUCAAGACCCCGCGCUGCACCUGGCGGCAGCGCACAGAGAAUUCCAAGAUCAAGCUCUCCGUCACCCAAGGCCUCCCGCGGCCACUGCAGGCUGCCGUGCCUUCACCGCCGAGCUGCGCAGCGUGGCCUGGCCAGACAAGUUCAAGCCAGAUCUGCCCCCGCACUACGAUGGCACAACUGACCCUGCGGAGUUCCUCCAGCUCUAUGAGCUGGGCAUCGAAGCCGCCAAUGGGGACGAGAAGGUCAUGGUGAACUGGUUCCCCAUGGCGUUGAAGGACGACACCCGCACCUGGCUCCUGAACCUGGCUCCUGGCACGAUAUCCUCCUGGGACGAGAUGCACACCUGAUUCAUCGCCAACUUCCAAGGCACCCGCGACCGGCCCCCAGCCAUGAGUGACUUGUGCUGCAUCAAGCAGCAGCCGGGAGAGACCCUGCAGAAGUUCAUCCAGCGUUUCAACAACGCUCGCCUUAAGAUCCCCAAGGUGUCUGAGGAGGCCAUCAUCUCAGCCUUCUCCGACGGCGUACAUGACGUCAAGAUAAAGGAGGAGCUUGCGAUUCAUGAGGACCUGUGCACCUCCCUGGAGCCGUUCAAUCUGGCGACCAAGUGCGCUAGGGCUGAGGAAGGGCGCCUUUCCCUCCUUGAGCUGCCAGCUGCUGACCCAGAAGAGAAGAAGCCCAAGGUCAAGGACGUGAAGCGCAAGGGGGCUGCCAUGCUUGCAGCAGAACCGGACACCAAGCAAGGCAGGGAUCAGCCUGCGUCAUCCAAGGGCAGCCGGUACUGCAUGUACCACGACCUCCACACCCACAACACCAACGAAUGCCAAGAGCUCAGGGCCGUGCGGGACGUGCAUGCCGCCGACGCCCCGAGCGCAGCGACCGGGGCUAUGGACGAGGAGGAGGAAGAGGUGGAGGACGAUGGGAAGACCGUGGUCCUCGCCAAAGGUGGCGCGACCGACCUCGCGAGGAGCGCUGGCAGGACCAGCCUCAUGAGGGAGGUUGGAGGGACCCACCUUGCGAGGGGGGUUGGAGGGAUCAGCCUCGCGAGGAUCGCCCACAAGGCAACGCGGGCCUCCCUCCUCUGCCACCACAGCCGAGGAGGAAUGAAGACCAUCAUCAGGACGAGGGGGCUGGAGGCUUCCAGGAGCCGCGCGCAAUCGCUUGUAUCUUGGGCGGCGCUCAAGCCCCGGCCUCUCAGCGCAUCUUCAAGCAGUUUGCUCGCGAAGUGAAUGCAGUCCUCCCCAAGCUUGAGGCCACAUGCCCUCUCAGGUGGUCAGCGUGCGCUAUCACGUUCAGCUCAGCGGAUCAGCUCAAGUGCGCGGCCACAACCGGAGUCCUCCCGAUGCUUUGUUCCCCAAUCAUCAGCAAUGUGCAAGUCCCCAGGACCCUCAUCGAUGGCGGAGCAUGGCUCAAUGUCCUGUCCGUUGAGACGUUCAACAAUCUGCAAGUGCCCUACAACCAGCUGUAGCCAACCAAGCCUUUCUCAGGAGCCAUUGAUGGUUCCACGGUUCCGAUAGGGUAGGUUCACCUUCCUGUUACCUUCGGGAAGCGCGACAACUACCGCACCGAGCUCAUUGACUUCGACGUCGCUCACAUUUGCCUGUCGUACAAUGCCAUCCUCGGAUACCCAGCCCUGUCCAAGUUCAUGGCCGUGACUCAUCACGGUUACAAUGUCCUCAAGAUGCCAGGAAGCGGUGGAGUCAUCACGGUGCCUUGUGAAGAGAGAGACGCUGUGUGUUCUCUGGAGCGUGCUUUCCAAGCCGCAUCAAUUGAAGACCCAGAUCACAGGAGCGGGAGGCUUCCCGAGGCUGCUCCUAAGAAGAAGAAUACAUCGCCUGGCCCGACCCCUCGGGAGGCAGGCCACUCAGGGUCCGCGCCUGUUCAGGGGGCGCCUCCUUCUGUCGCAUAGGAAGGCAUGCCCGGCGCCCUCCUUGAGCAAGGCUCGGGGGCUCUCUCCUGGAGGGCCAUCGACUUUGCUAGGAUCACGAGGGAGGCACUCGGGCACCACUUGGAGGCGUGUUUCAACGCACGUUUCCCUCAGGAAGGAGCAAGGCAAGGAGGGCCAAACCCUCGGGAGUUCGUCAGCAAGAUCAUUCAGGAGCUGCAGGAGUCAAGAGUCAUGAGUGGCAGCCGCUGCUUACCCGCCGUAGCUCCCCAUCCAGGCGAGGAUGGUGGGCUGCGCGUCUGCAUUGACAUACCAGGACUCAACCGAGCCGCCUCUCAGGAGCGCCUCUGGCCCUCACGCGUGGGACGCUGCGAAGGUCCACCCCAUAGCUAUGUUCGCAUGCCUUACGACCUGCCGAGUGCUGCUGUGCGUCAGCGCCUCAUGAGGAGCAUCCUGGAGGCUCAAGCGGUUAGGCAUUCCAUAGUCCUGGCGGAGAUGGAGAUGGUCCGCGAGGAGCCGCCGGCGCCUCCGGAGCCUCCCGAGGCCCCUGGGCCUGGGGUCUCAGGAAGAUCGGCUUCUGCAGCACACGCCGUCCCCUACUUCAGCAUCCCUUCAUCUUCAGCGUCAUCAGGUGACAUCCUUCGAGUUUCAUUUUCAGCUGGGAGCGCCCCCAGGGCUGCAUCAUUCCCAGGCCGCGUGGGUCCGUCCUUGCGGCAUGUACCCCUUUGAUUCAUGUUUUUAGCUUACUUUAUUGGGGGCGCCCCUCGGGCUGCAUCAUCCCCAAAGUCGCUUGGGCCCGACCCAGCGGUGUUCGCCUUUUUCUGCGCCUAUCUAAAUGGUUUUGCUCCUUCAUGAUUAACGUGCUUGACUUAAUUGCCCGCUUGAUUGACACCAACUGGUGGAGCUGCUCCCUCACGGCACGACGCUUGCACACGGGUCCAUCCCUGCAACGUCGACAAACCUGCAUGGCUGAGCUCUGACCGCGGCAACCCCGCAGGGUGCCACCUCACCAAGCCUUUAGUGCCUCGUCACCCUCCCAGAGCAACCAGCAGCUGGCCGGCAAUUGUAACGGCAAACCCUCGCUUUUCUCAUGAUGAACUCACAGGAUCGCUUUAAGGAGUAGCGUCGAGCGAGGCCUCCACAGCGUCUCCUUCGCUCUCGUCCGCACGAACCGCUUGCACGUUAAAGGGGGGGGGGUACCUGAGCAUCGCGACUCAUGGACUCUUACUGGCUCUCCAGCCCUCACCUCCUGGCCUUGUCCACGGCAUCGCGACCUGGCAUACCAGUGACGGCUGAGCUCGCUUGAGGGCCGGGACCUGAGGACGUAGAGCACGAGGGGGGGCAAAGGCGAGAGGGAAGAGGCACGUGGGGACCUCGCCAGGCAACUCCUCAGCUGCCAAUGCGCGGGCCCGGCGCCGCGCCAAGAAGUGGCUUCUGACCCCCGAGAUAAGUCAUCCUCCGGAAACACUAGCUAUCGCAGCAUCGACCUCUCACCUAAUGCAAUCCCGUUUUGGCAACGUCGCGCUCCUUUCUCACCGAACGAUGACUGCUUGAGCGCUAAAGGGGACCUCCUGAGCAUCGCGGCUCAGGGGCUCUUACUGGACCCCGGGCCGCUCACCUCCUGGCCUUGACUACAACAUCGCGAUCUGGCAUACCAGCGACGGCUAAAGCCUGCCUUGGGACCGGGACCUGUCAGCACAGAGCGUCAAGUCCUCGCGAGGUUCGAAAGGAGGAACUAAGCUAAGACGGGACGAGCAUCUCGCAUUGCUUCAUGACAAGGAUCAUAUUAACAAAUGGAACCGCAAGCACCUUACAAACCCCCGCGGGGUGUGUUCUUCGAUUCCUCACAGGGAACAAAAGGAGAAAAUCCUAAAGAGCGCUAACUACACACGCCUCCGCAAGAGACGCCAUCAUCAACAGUGGGCCGUCAGGCACCAGUACCAACCCCAUACAGAUCAGUGGCGAUGGCGGCCUGACGAGCCCGCCCUACUCCGAGAGCGACGCAAGCUCGGGGGCUCGUAGCUGUCGUCACUCGACUCCAGAGUCACGAAGAGCUCGACGGAGUCGCUAGAUUCUCCGACACCUCCGCUGCCUGAGGAGCUACUGGGGAAGCGAUUGGCGAGCCUAGUCCUCGCCACGACAGGGCCCCGACUGCCUUUCUCAGGGCAGCACUCCAGCCGGCGUCCCUCCGCAUCGAAGACCUUGAAGAACAUCAGGGAGGCACCGUCGUAUUCGAGUUGGAUUACGAGGGCGCCACCCGUCCUGCAGACCCGGGAGAUCUCGCCCCAGCCACGGGUCAGGUAGACCCUGCCCGGAGCGACAACCUCGACCUCCGCUUCGGUCGCAGGGGUACUGCAAUCAGCAUGCUGCAACCAAAGCUCGAUAGGCCCCCUCGGCGGGAUCUCGAAGGCGAAGGAAGGAGGGAGGUGAAUCCAAGACCGAGGAUGCAUGGUGGCGUGAAGCACGAGCUCGUGAGAGGAGCCCUCAACGUGAACACCAGGAGGAACGAUGCGCACCGCCGUGAUCCGCCGGCGGCGACGGCGCCUCUGGCGGCGCCGCUCAUCGUGACCCUCGAUCCAAGCAUACAAGGGCAAUGGGAAUCCAGGUGGCGGCCGCUCAAACCACGGCCUCGACACCUCCUGCAGAGCACCCCCUUCUCCGCGGAAAGAGGCGGGCCAUUUCUUCGGAGGAAGCGGGACAGGACCUUCUCGGGGGGCCUUUCCCUUCUCUUCAGCAAAAAACCGACGGAUCGGUGCCAUUGGCAUAGGGAGAAGCGAGAACAAAGAAGAAGACGGAGAGUAGCAGGAAGGGGUGAACUGGAAGGGCUCGCGCCGUUCCGUACAUAUAGCCGGGGAAGGCCAACCACCGGCCUCCACGAUCACAGGUAAUCAUGACCCGUUUUGCAGCAGGGACUUGUCAAUUCAUGCAGUUGCCGAUGCAUCAUGGGGGAGCCAGGACGCCCACGUCCAAUCAACCGCCACGCGGCGCCCAAGGCUGCAGGCUAUUGGGGCCCGCGAUGCUUCGCACUUGCCCCUUUGCUUCUCUGCUAAGCCAAGUCCGGGUGCGCCUUGGGCCCGGGGGCUACUGUUGGCGUUUUGGGAAUGGGGGUACCCAGACUUGCCUGCCUACGGCCUGCGGCGUGGCUCAAGGAGUGGCCCAGCACAACCCAUCGUCAUCAACGCAUACUCAAGACCCUCGCGAGGGGCCAAGCCUCGCGGGGCGGACGACAGGAGGCUUCCUCGGGCACGACCUCGUCAGGCUGGCUCGCGAGGAGGCGGAGAGAUCAAGGCGGGGUACCUCACGAGGUGCCCAUGACACAAGCCAUGACGACCGAGGCCAGGCGGGCGCCAGCCUGCGCAGAGUCCUUGUUUCCUCUUUGGUGCAAAGGGGGCAAGCGUAGGCAAGAGUAUCAAGCAAAGGCAACCAUUUUGGUGCAACAAGACCAAGACCAGUAGGACGGCAAGAUGGAGGUCAUCGUGGAGCCCAAGCCGGCGUCAUCGUCAGGGUCUUUGGCAGGCGAGGACCAACUUUAGUCAGGAUAAGUGUACUAGAUGUUCCCCUUCAAAAUGGCCAAUUGUUGGCGCCCUUCCCGCUCAAUAUUUGGGGAGAGGCCCAGGGCCUCCGUCUAUAAAUAGGACUAGCCACCCACAGGGUAGAGGCAUCUGGAUUUGGAUCUGGCUCUGGAGAGAGAGAGAGAGAGGCGACUGAACUCCCCCUAGGAGUUCAUCGCACUAGCCAAGAACAGACCCUCGCGAGGCUGUUCUUCCUUGUACUGUCCAUUAUCAGCCCCUGAGGCAAUCCACACACCACAAACUGGAGUAGGGUAUUACACCACAAUGGUGGCCUGAACUAGUAUAAAUCUCGUGUCCCUUGUGUUGUUCUUCGUGUAGUUUUAGAUCCUUGCGAGGCGACGAGACAUGGGUAGGCAGGAGGUGUGAUCUCCGCGUGCACCCCAGAGUUCGAACCUUGAGGGUCUGCCGGAACCCAAAAUCAGACAGGUGCAUUGACCUUUCUCACCUUGAGAGUUGGUGCAAACUUCGCCGGUGCAUCCAAACCCCGUGAUAUGAUACGCUCUAUGACACAUAGGCCUCCUUAUAUCUUCCUCAAAACAACCACAUACCUACCUAUUAUGACAUUUCCAUAGCCAUUCCGAGAUAUAUUUCCAUGUAACUUUCCAUCGUUCCGUUUAUUAUGACAUGCUUCAUCAUUGUCAUAUUGCCUUGCAUGAUCAUGUAGUUGACAUCGUAUUUGUGGCAAAGCCGCAUAUUUUCAUAUAUGACACUCUUGAUUCAUUGCCCAUUCCGAUACACCGCCGGAGGCACUCAUAUAAAGUCAUAUUUUGUUCUAGUAUCGAGUUAUAGUCAUUGAGUUGUAAAUAAAUAAAAGUGUGAUGAUCAUCAUUAAUAGAGCAUUGUCCCGGAAAAAAAGAAAAAAAAGAGAAAGGCCAAAAAAAAGAAAGGCCAAAAAAAGAAAGGCCAAAUAAAAAUAUAUAAAGAAGGGACAAUGCUACUAUCCUUUUUCCACACUUGUGCUUCAAAGUAGCACCAUGGUCUUUAUGAUAGAGAGUCUCUUAUUUUGUCACUUUCAUAUACUAGUGGGGAUUUUUCAUUAUAGAACUUGGCUUGUAUAUUCCAACAAUGGGCUUCCUCAAAUGCCCUAGGUCUUCGUGAGCAAGCAAGUUGGAUGCACACCCACUUAGUUUCUUUUGUUGAGCUUUCAUACAUUUAUAGCUCUAGUGCAUCUGUUGCAUGUCAAUCCCUACUCCUUGCAUUGACACCAAUUGAUGGGCAUCUCCAUAGCUCGUUGAUUAGCUGCGUCAAUGUGAGAAUUUCUCCUUUUUGUCUUCUCCACACAACCCCCAUCAUUAUUCUAUUCCACCCAUAGUGCUAUGUCCAUGGCUCACGCUCAUGUAUUGCGUGAAAGUUGAAAAAGUUUGAGAAUACUAAAGUAUGAAACAAUUGCUUGGCUUGUCAUCGGGGUUGUGCAUGAUGGGAGCAUUUUGUGUGACGAAAAUGAAACAUGGACAAACUAUAUGAUUUUGUAGGGAUGAGCUUUCUUUGGCUAUGUUAUUUUGAUAAGACAUAAUUGCUUGGUUAGUAUGCUUGAAGUAUUAUUAUUUUUAUGUCAAUAUUAAACUUUUGUCUUGAAUCUUAUGGAUCUGAAUAUUCUUGCCACAAUAAAGAAGAUUACAUUGAUAAAUAUGUUAGGUAGCAUUCCACAUCAAAAAUUCUGUUUUUAUCAUUUACCUACUCGAGCACGAGCAGGAAUUAAGCUUGGGGAUGCUUGGUACGUCUCCAAGGUAUCUAUAAAUUUUUAUUGUUCCAUGCUAUUAUAUUAUCCAUCUCGGAAGUUUUAUAUCCAUUUAUAUGCUAUUUUAUAUGAUUUUUGGGACUAACCUAUUAACCUAGAGCCUAGUGCCAGUUUCUGUUUUUCCUUGUUUUUGAGUUUUAAAGAAAAGGAAUACCAAGCGGAGUCCAAUUGACGUGCCAAUUUUUGACGAUUUUUUAUGGACCAAAAGAAGACCCCGGUGUAAAAGAGUUGGGCGAGAAGAGUCCCAGGCCGUCGAUGAGGGUGGGGGCGCGCCCACCCCCCCGAGUGCACCGCCCUAUCUCGUGGACGACUCGAGCACCUCCCUAACUUGUUCCCGACGCCAAAAAUUCCUAUAAAUACUGAAACCUCCAGAAAAUAACCUAGAUCGGGUGUCCCGCCGCCGCAAGUCUCUGUAGCCACCAAAAACCAAUUGGGGCCCUGUUCCGGCACCCUGCCGGAGGGGGGAUCCCUCACCGGUGGCCAUCUUCAUCAUCUCGACGCUCUCCAUGACGAGGAGGGAGUAGUUCACCCUCGGGGCUGAGGGUAUGUACCAGUAGCUAUGUGUUUGAUCUCUCUCUCGUGUUCUUGAUAUGGCACGAUCUUGAUGUAUCACAAGCUUUGCUAUUAUAGUUGGAUCUUAUGAUGUUUCUCCCCCUCUAUCUCUUGUAAUGGAUUGAGUUUUCCCUUUGAAGUUAUCUUAUCGGAUUGAGUCUUUAAGGAUUUGAGAACACUUGAUGUAUGUCUUGUGUGGGAUACCCAUGGUGACAAUGGGGUAUUCUAUUGAUUCACUUGAUGUAUGUUUUGGUGUUCAACUUGCGGGUUCCGUGACCUUGGGAAUCUACGCAUAGGGGUUGACACAUGUUUUCAUCUUGAAUCUCUGAUAGAAACUUAGGGGCACUCUUUGAAGUUCUGUGUGUUGGUUGAAUAGAUGAAUCUGAGAUUGUGUGAUGCAUAUCGUAUAAUCAUAUCCACGGAUACUUGAGGUGACAUUGGAGUAUCUAGGUGACAUUAGGGUUUCGGUUGAUUUGUGUCUUAAGGUGUUAUUCUAGUACAAACUUUAUGAUAGAUCGAACAGAAAGAAUAGCUUCGUGUUAUUCUACUACGGACUCUUGAAUAGAUCGAUCAGAAAGGAUAACUUUGAGGUGGUUUCGUACCCUACAAUAAUAUCUUCGUUUGUUCUAUGCUAUUAGUGACUUUGGAGUGACUCUUUGUUGCAUGUUGAGGGAUAGUUAUAUAUAUGAUCCAGUUAUGUUAUUAUUGUUGAGAGAACUUGCACUAGUGAAAGUAUGAACCCUAGGCCUUGUUUCCUAGCAUUGCAAUACUGUUUACGCUCAUUUUUAUCGCUUGUUACCUUGCUUUUUUUAUAAUUUCAGAUUACAAAAACCUAUAUCUACCAUCCAUAUUGCACUUGUAUCACCAUCUCUUUGCCAAACUAGUGCACCUAUACAAUUUACCAUUGUAUUGGGUGUGUUGGGGACACAAGAAACUCUUUGUUAUUUGGUUGUAGGGUUGUUCGAGAGAGACCAUCUUCAACCUAUGCCUCCCUCGGAUUGAUAAACCUUAGGUCAUCAACUUGAGGGAAAUUUGCUACUGUCCUACAAACCUCUGCACUUGGAGGCCCAACAACGUCUACAAGAAGAAGGUUGCGUAGUAGACAUCACCCAUGUAGGUCCAAUACUUCCCCGGGGGGUUCCGGUAACCUCCCGGUACUCCCAAAAAUACCCGAACCUUUCUGAAACCAUUCCGGUGUCCGAAUACUAUCGUCCAAUAUAUCAAUCUUUACCUCUUGACUAUUUCGAGACUCCUCGUUGUGUCCGUGGUCUCAUCCGGGAGUCUGAACAAUCUUCGGUCACCAAAACACAUAACUCAUAAUACAAAUCGUCAUCGAAUGUUAAGCGUGCGGACCCUACGGGUUUGAGAACUAUGUAGACAUGACCGAGACACAUCUCAUAUCAAUAACCAAUAGCGGAACCUAGAUGCUCAUAUUGGUUCCUACAUAUUGUACGAAGAUCUUUAUCGGUCAAACUGCAAUGACAACAUACGUAAUUCCCUUUGUCAACGGUAUGUUACUUGCCCGAGAUUCGAUCGUUGGUAUCCUGAUACCUAGUUCAAUCUCGUUACCAGCAAGUCUCUUUACUCGUUCCGUAAUGCAUCAUUAUGUAACUAACUCAUUAGUCACAUUGCUUGCAAGGCUUAUCAUGAUGUGCAUUACCGAGAGGGCCCAGAGAUACCUCUCCGGUACUCGGAAUGACAUAUCCUAAUCUCGAUCUAUGCCAACCCAACAAACACCUCUGGAGAUGCCUGUAGAGCAUCUUUAUAAUCACCCAGUUAUGUUGUGACGUUUGAUAGCACACAAGGUAUUCCUUCGGCAUUCAGGAGUUGCACAAUCUCAUAGUCAAAGGAAUAUGUAUAAGUCAUGAAGAAAGCAAUAGCAAUAAAACUUAACGAUCAUUAUGCUAAGCUAAUGGAUGGGUCUUGUCCAUCACAUCAUUCUCCUAAUAAUGUGAUCCCGUUCAUCAAAUGAAAACAAUGUCUAUGGUUAGGAAACUUAACCAUCUUUGAUAAACGAGCUAGUCUAGUAGAGGCUUACUAGGGACACAGUGUUUCGUCUAUGUAUCCACACAUGUAUCAAGUUUCCGGUUAAUACAAUUCUAGCAUGAAUAAUAAGCAUUUGUCAUGAUAUAAGGAAAUAUAAAAUAACAACUUUAUUAUUGCCUCUAGGGCAUAUUUCCUUUAGUGUCCCACUUGCACUAGUCAAUAAUGUAGUUCACAUCGGCAUGUGAUUUAACACCAAUAGUUCACAUCACCAUGUGAUUAACACCCAUAGUUCACAUCGCCAUGUGACCAACACCCAAAGGGUUUACUAGAGUCGGUAAUAUAGUUCACAUCGCCAUGUGAUUAACACCCAAAGAGUACUUAGGUGUGAUCAUGUUUUGCUUGUGAGAGAGGUUUAGUCAACGGGUCUGCCACAUUCAGAUCCGUAUGCAUUUUGCAAAUUGUAUGUCUACAAUGCUCUGCAUGGAGCUACUCUAGCUAAUUGCUCCCACUUUCAAUACGUAUCCAGAUCGAAACUCAGAGUCAUCUGGAUCGGUGUAAAAGCUUGCAUCGACGUAACUCAUUACGACGAACUCUUUAUCACCUCCAUAACCAAGAAAUAUUUCCAUAGCCCUCUAAGGAUAAUUUUGACCGCUGUCCAGUGAUCUACUCCUCAAUCACUAUUGUACCCCCUUGCCAAACUCAUGGCAAGGUGAACAAUAGGUCUGGUACACAACAUGGCAUACUGUAUAGAACCUAUGGCUGAGGCAUAGGGAAUGACUUUCAUUCUCUAUCUACCUUAUGCCGUGGUCAGGCUUUGAGUCUUUACUCACCUUCACACCUUACAAUACAGGAAAGAACUCCUUCUUUGACUGAUCCAUUUUGAACUCCUUCAAAACCUUGUCAAGGUAUGUACUCAUUGAAAAAUCUUAUCAAGCGUCUUGAUCUAUCUCUAUAGAUCUUGAUGCCCAAUAUGUAAGCAGCUUCACCGACGUCUUUCUUUGAAAAACUCCUUUCAAACACUCCUUUAUGCUUACCAGAAAUUUCUACAUCAUUUCUGAUCAACAAUAUGUCAUUCACAUAUACUUAUCAGAAAUGCUACAGAGCUGCCACUCACUUUCUUGUAAAUACAAGCUUCACCAUAAGUCUGUAUAAAACCAUAUGCUUUGAUCACACUAUCAAAACGUAUAUUCCUACUUCGAGAGGCUUGCACCAGUCCAUAAAUGGAUCGCUGGAGCUUGCACACUUUGUUAGCACUUUUAGGAUCGACAAAACCUUCUGGUUGCAUCAUAUACAACUCUUCUUUAAGAAAUCCAUUAAGGAAUGCAAUUUUGACAUCCAUUUGCUAAAUUUCAUAAUCAUAAAAUGCGACAAUUUCUAACAUGAUUCGGACAGACUUAAGCAUUGCUACGGGUGAGAAGGUCUCAUCGUAGUCAACUCCUUGAGCUUGUCAAAAACCUUUCGCAACAAGUCGAGCUUUGUAGACAGUGACAUUACCACCAGCGUUAGUCUUCUUCUUGAAGAUCCAUUUAUUCUCUAUGGCUUGCCGAUCAUCGGGCAAGUCAACCAAAGUCCAUACUUUGUUCUCAUACAUGGAUCCCAUCUCAGAUUUCAUGGCCUCAAGCCAUUUCACGGAAUCUGAGCUCAUCAUCACUUCCUCAUAGUUCGUAGGUUCGUCAUGGUCUAGUAACAUGACUUCCAGAACAGGAUUAUCGUACCACUCUGGUGCGGAACAUACUCUGGUUGACCUACGAGGUUUGGUAGUAACUUGAUCUGAAGCUUCAUGAUCAUCAUCAUUAGCUUCCUCACUAAUUGGUAUAGGCAUCAAUGGAACUGAUUUCUUUGAUGAACUACUUUCCAAUUUGAGAAUAGGUAUAACUACCACAUCAAGUUCUACUUUUCUCCCACUCACUUCUUUCGAGAGAAACUCCUUCUUUAGAAAGGAUCCAUUCUUAGCAACAAAUAUCUUGCCUUUGGAUCUGUGAUUGAAGACACACUUCUCCGAUUUGGGUUCGAGCUUAUCAGGCUGAAGCUUUUUCACAUAAGCAUCGCAACCCCAAACUUUGAGAAACGACAGCUUAGGUUUCUUGCCAAACCACAGUUCAUACAGUGUCGUUUCAACGGGUUUAGAUGGUGCCCUAUUUAACGUGAAUGCAGCUGUCUCUAAUGCAUAACCCCAAAACGGUAGUGGUAAAUCGGUAAGAGACAUCAUAGGUCACACCAUAUGUAAUAAAGUACGGUUACGACGUUCGGACACACCAUUACGCUGUGGUGUUCCAGGUGGCGUGAGUUACGAAACUACUCCAUAUUGUUUCAAAUGAAGACCAAACUCGUAACUGAAAUAUUCGCCUCUGCGACCAGACCGUAGAAACAUUAUUUUCUUGUUACGAUGAUUUUCCACUUCACUCGGAAAUUCUUUGAACUUUUCAAAUGUUUCAGACUAAUGUUUCAUUAAGUAGAUAUGCUGAUAUCUGCUCAAAUCAUCUGUGAAGGUCAGAAAAUAACGAUACCAGCCGCGGGCCUCAACACUCAUCAGACCACAUACAUCAGUAUGUAUUAUUUCCAAUAAGUCAGUGGCUCGCUCCAUUGUUCCGGAGAACGAAGUUUUAGUCAUCUUUCCCAUGAGGCAUGGUUCACAAGUAUUAAGUGAUUCAUAAUCAAGUGAUUCCAAAAGCCCAUCAGCAUGAAGUUUCUUCAUGCGCUUUACAGCAAUAUGACCUAAACGACAGUGCCACAAAUAAGUUGCACUAUCAUUAUUAACUUUGCAUCUUUUGGCAUCAAUAUUAUGAAUAUGUGUAUCACUAUGAUCGAGAUUCAAAAAAAUAGACCACUCAUCAAGGGUGCAUGACUAUAAAAGAUAUUACUCAUAUAAAUAGAACAACCAUUAUUCUCUGAUUUAAAUGAAUAAUCGUCUCACAUCAAAGAAGAUCCAGAUAUAAUGUUCAUGCUCAACGCUGGAACCAAAUAACAAUUAUUCAGGUCUAAAACUAAUCCCGAAGGUGGAUGUAGAGGUAGCGUGCCGACGGCGAUCAUAUCGACCUUGGAACCAUUUCCGACGCGCAUUGUCACCUCAUCCUUAGCCAAUCUUCAUUUAAUCUAUGCCUCCAUUUUCGAGUUGCAAAUAUGAGCAACAGAACCCGUAUCAAUUACCCAGGUGCUACUACGAGCAUUAGUAAGGUACACAUCAAUAACAUGUAUAUCAAAUAUACCUUUCACUUUGCCAUCCUUCUUAUCCGCCAAAUACUUGGGGCAGUUCCGCUUCCAGUGACCAGUCCCUUUGUAGUAGAAGCACUCAGUUUCAGGCUUAGGUCCAGACUUGGGCUUCUUCCCGGGAGUAGCAACUUGCUUGCUAUUCUUCUUGAAGUUCCCCUUAUUCCCUUUGCCCUUUUUAUUGAAACUAGUGGUUUUGUUAACCAUCAACACUUGAUGCUCCUUCUUGAUUUCUACCUCCGCAGCUUUAAGCAUUGUGAAGAGCUCGGGAAUUGUCUUGUUCAUCCCUUGCAUAUUAUAGUUCAUCACGAAGCCUUUAUAGCUUGGUACCUGAUACGUCUCCAACGCAUCUACUUUUCCUAACACUUUUCCUCUUGUUUUGGACUCUAAUUUGCAUGAUUUCGAUGAAACUAACCCCAAACUGACGUUGUUUUCAAUAGAACUACCAUGGUGUUGUUUUUGUGCAGAAAUAAAAGUUCUUGGAAUGGAAUGGAACUUUGCGAGGAAUUUUUAUAUAAUAAAUAAGAAUUUCUGGAGCCAAGAUCCACCGGAGAGGGGCACCUGGGUGGGCACAACCCACCAGGGCGCGCCCUCCCCUCCUGUUGCGCCCAGGUGGGUUGUCCCCACCCGGUGGCCCCGCAGACCCUGAUUCCAACACUAUAAAAUCCUAUUUUCAGAGAAAAAUCAGGGAGAAAGAAUUAUCGUGAUCCAUGAGAUGGAGCCGCCGCCAAGCCCUGUUCUUCCUCGGGAGGGAAGAUCUGGAGUCCGUUUGGGGCUCCGGAGAGGGGGAUCUUCGUUCUUCAUCAUCACCAACCCUUGUCUAUCGCCAAUUCCAUGAUUCUCCCCACCAGGAGUGAGUAAUUCCUUCGUAGGUUCGCUGGUCGGUGAGGAGUUGGAUGAGAUUCAUCAUGUAAUCGAGUUAGUUUUGUUAGGGCUUGAUCCCUAAUAUCCACUAUGUUCUUAGAAUGAUGUUGCUAUGAAUUUGCUAUGCUUAAUGCUUGUCACUUUGGGCCUGGGUGCCAUGAACUCAGAUCUGAACCGUUUAUGUUAUCAUCAUUAUAUCCAUGUUUUAGAUCGGAUCUUGCAAGUUAUAGUCACCUACUACGUGUUAUGAUCCGGCAACCCCGUAGCGACAACAACCAGGCCCACUCCCGGUGAUGACCGUAGUUUGAGGAGUUUAUGUAUUCACUAUGUGUUAAUGCUUUGUUCCGGUUCUCUAUUAAAAGGAGGCCUUAAUAUCCCUUAGUUUCCAAUAUGGACCCCGCUGCCACAGGAGGGUAGGACAAAAGAUGUCAUGCAAGUUCUUUUAAUAAAGCACGUAUGACUAUUUACGAAAUACAUGCCUACAUUAUAUCGAUGAGCUAGAGCUAGUGCCGUAUCGCCCUAGGUUAUAACUGUCACAUGAUGAAUAUCAUCCAACAUGUCACCGAUCCAAUGCCUAAGAAUUUAUCUUAUAUUGUUUCUGCUAAGUUACUACUGCUACCAUCACUGUUACACUUGCUACAAAAUUACUGCUAUUACUGUUACUGCUGUCACUAUUAUCAAAACUAUCAAACUACUUUGCUACUGAUCACUUUGCCGCAGAUAAUUAAUCUCCAAGUGUGGUUGAAUUGACAACUCAGCUGCUAAUACCUUCAAAUAUUCUUUGGCUCCCCUUGUGUCGAAUCUAUACAUUUGGGUUGAAUACUCUACCCUCGAAAAUGGUUGCGAUCCCCUAUACUUGUGGGUUAUCUGGACCUUUUUCUGGCACCGUUGCCGGGGAGGAUAGCUAUAUUUGUUGAGUCACUUGGGAUUAUUAUCAUAUUAUCACUAUGAAGAAUUUGAAGGAUCCAAAGACUAAGAUAUUUCCCUCAAGGACGAGGGGAGGUAUGGAACUGCCAUCCAGUUCUGCUUUAGAUUCACCUUUUGUUAUGAGUAAACUUGCAACAUCACCACAUGCUAUCAAUUCUGAUAUGUCGCAAGUUAUUGAUGAUGCUACUUCUGCUAUGGAUAAUUCUUAUGAUGAUGCUAGUAUCUUGCUUGAUAAUGAUGAUGUGCCACUUGGUGAUUUUUUUGAUGCACAAAUUGCUAGAGUAAUACAACCUGAUGUUGUUGAAUCUGAUGAUGAGCUUGAAACUAAAAGUCUUGAAACACUUGCUAGAAUUAGCCUUCCUAGAUAUGAAUUGCCUAAGGUACCAGAAGGUUAUGUUAUGAAUGAGGAGACAACUAGAGAUAUUCUUGCUUGUAAGGAUAGAGAUGAUCUAGAGAAAUUACUAUGUAAGUAUAAAGAAAAAUCUCUGAAUGCUAGAAUGAAAUAUGAUCCUAAGUUUGCUACUUCACCUAUCUUUAUUGAUGACAAGUAUUAUGAAUUCUUUGUCGACCAAGAGUUAAUUACUUUGGUUGAAUCUGAUCCUUUCCAUGGUUAUGAAACUGAAACUGUUGUGGCACAUCUUACUAAGUUGAAUGAUAUAGCCACCCUUUUUACUCAUGAUGAGAAAACUGACUAUUACUUUAUUCUCAAAUUAUUUCCUUUCUCAUUAAAGGGUAAUGCUAAAGCUUGGUACAAUACUCUUACUCCUGGUUGUGUGGGUAGUUUCCAGGAUAUGAUUUAUUACUUCUUUGAAAAAAAUCCUUCUCAUAAGAAACAAGCUGCUUUACAGGAAAUAUUUAACUUUGUGCAAACUAAAGAAGAGAGUCUCCCACAAGCUUGGGGGAGGAUUUUCCAGUUACCUAAUGCUUUGCUGAUCAUCCUCUUAAGAAAAAUGAAAUACUUGAUAUCUUCUAUAAUGGACUAACCUAUGCUUUUAGGGACUUCCUAGAUAGUUGUGCUGCUUGUGUUUUCAGGGAACGAACUAUUGGACAAUCUGAAGAAUUAUUGAAUAUCAUAUUGAAAAAUUAUGAUGAUUGGACUAUUCCUAAACCACCACCUAAACCCACUCCUAAGAAGAUGGGUAUAUUAUAUCUCAGUCCUGAAGAUAUGCAAGAGGCAAAGAAAUCUAUGAAGGAAAAAGGUAUUAAUGCCGAGGAUGUUAAAAAAUUACCUCCUAUUGAAGAAAUACAUGGGCUUAAUACACCACCACUGCCUAAGGUGGUAGAGGUAAAUUCUCUUAUGAAUUUCAAUGAUAAUGAUAAUCCUCACAAUAUGCAUCCUAGUCAAUGCCUUUAUGAGUUUGAAAACUAUAUUAGAAAACAAGAUCACUUCAAUGCAAAUGUUAUGAAACAAUUGAAAUAUAAUUCUGAUAUGAUUGCUCACUUGAGUGACUUGUUAUUUAGAAUCUCAAAUGAUGUUAGAGGUGUUGGGAAACAUGCUUAUAUGGUUCAAACUCAGUUUGAACAAGUUUCUAAAUCACAAAGAGAAUUACUUGAUGAAAUGAAUCAUAAUAUGCAUGACUUUGCUGUUAGAGUUGCAACUAGAGGAGGUAAAAUGACUCAGGAACCACUUUAUCCUGAGGGACACCCUAAAAGAAUUCAACAAGAUUCACAAAGAGUAAACACUGAUGCACCUAGUCCUUCUAGAAUGAAAAAGAAAAAGAAAAAGAAAAAUGAUAGGACUUUGCACACUUCUAGUGAACCUGAAAUAGAAAAACCUCCUGAUAAUGAUAAUGAAACCUCUAUCUCUGAUGCUAAAACUCAAUCUGGUAAUGAACACUCACCUAGUGAUAAUGAUGAGGUUCUUGAAGACACUCAACCAACUAAUGAUAAAGAACCAGAUAAUGAUGUUGAGAUAGAACCACCUGCUGAUCUUGAUAACCCACAACCAAAGAAUAAAAGGUAUGAUAAAAGAGACUUUGUUGCUAGAAAACACAUUAAAGAAAGAGAACAGUGGGUUCAAUAACCUAUGCCUUUUCCACCCAAGUCAACUAAAAAGAAAGAUGAUGAAGAAUUUGAACGCUUUGCUAAAAUGCUAAGGCCAGUCUUUUGGCGUACUCGCUUGACUCAUAUCUUGAAAAUGCCUCCUUAUGCAAAGUAUAUGAAAGACAUCAUCACUAACAAGAGAAAAAUACCGGAAGCUGAAAUCUCCACUAUGCUUGCUAAUUAUAAUUUCAAGGAUGGAGUACCUAAAAAACUUGGAGAUCCAGGAAUACCAACUAUACCUUGCUCCAUCAAAAAGAAUUAUGUGAAAACUGCUUUGUGUGAUUUAGGAGCUGGUGUUAGUGUUAUGCCUUUCUCUUUAUAUAAAAGACUUGAUCUGAAUGAACUCACACCUACUGAAAUAUCUUUGCAAAUGGCCGACAAAUCAACUGCCAUACCUAUCGGUAUUUGUGAGGAUGUGCCCGUUGUUGUUGCUAAUGUUACUAUUUUGACUGACUUUGUUAUACUUGAGAUGCCCAAGGACGAUAACAUGUCGAUUAUCCUUGGUAGACCCUUCUUGAAUACUGUAUGGGCUGUUAUUGAUUGCAAUAAAAGCAUGGUCACUUUUCAUAUUAAUGGUAAUGAGCAUACGGUGCACUUUCCGAAGAAACAAUUCCAAGUGAAUGGCAUUGAUGUUAUUGAAAAAUCUCCGACAAUCACUAUUGGAAGUUUUCAAAUACCUCUACCUACUGUCAAAAAGAAAUAUGAAAUGCUUAUUGUUGGGGACAUCCAUAUCCCCAUUUAGGUAACUUAGUGACUUACGAAAGUUCUUUAGUUUCAUGCUAAUCAAAAGUGGUUGUUAAUAAGACCUGAUCAACCUUAUUAAUGAAUCAUUUUUGAGCGGUAUGAAGUUGAUGAAUUUAGUAAGCACUACCUUCUGUCCCUAUCUUUUGUUUUCUGUUUUUAUUAGUUAAAUAAAUUAAAAUGCCAUGUUUUGUCUGUUUUCUGAAUUUCCAAUGCAAUAAAAAAAUGACCCAAAAAUUAAAGUUCUCAGAAUGCCCUGAAAACUUAAUACGAUUUUUUCUGAAUAUUUACAUAUUUCUGGUGCAAAUAAUAUCAGAGGGAGGUGCACCAGGUGGGCACAAUCCACCUGGGCGCUCUAGGACUCCCAGGCGCGCCCUGGUGGGUUGUGGUCCCCACUGGGCCCCCUCACUUACCUCUUCGUCCCACAUCAUCACUUACCUCCAGAAAAAAAAAUUCUCCAUUGCUCUCUCUCCCGUGUUCUUGCUCUCAAACCUGCAGAUUUCGAUCUCUUUGCUCGAAGCUCCGUUUUCGAAACUGUUUCGGGGGAUUGUUGCUUGGUAUGUGACUCCACUGUUUGUCCAAUUAGUUUUUAUUUUAGUGGUUCAUACUUUGAAUAAUUAGCUACUCUUGGUGCUGUUGUAGAUGAGCUUGCAUGUUAAAUUCUUAGUGGUCUAAGUAGUUUGAAUGCUUGCUAUGGCCUCUAUGUAUCCCUAUGAGUAGUUGCUAUUAGUUUUAUAAAGUUUUGUCACCCCAAAAUUUUUAUUUUCAGAAAAUUGUAUGCGGACAUGAAUAUCUUUAGGAAGUUUGGGUCUAAGCAGAACUCCAAGGGUAUUAUUGGGGAGUCUUCUGACAGUGAUUUCCACCCUCGGAGGUUGGCGGAGGUACGGCCGUGCGAAUGGCUACACACCCCGUUCCUGGAAGAGGCUGGAAUUCUUCCGGAGUUUACACAAUAUGUUGCCAAUGCCGGCCUCACUGACUUCAUCACAGAUGAGUGUGACCAGCAGCAAAUCCUCACAAACAUCUUUGUUCAAAGUUUUACUUUCCUGCCUAGGAAUAAUCCUCCUGAAGUGAGCUUUGAUUUAUAUGCUGAAAACCAUCAGAUACCACUUACUGAAUUUUGUGACAUAUGCAUGAUCCCCUCUGAUAGGAUCUUAGUCGAGCCUAGGCCGGCUGGGUUUGAGGCCUUUUAUCGAACUUUGACAGUGGGAGAUGAGAGAGGGGUGUCAGCCACCACGGCUGCUAGCAUACACUUUCCAGCCGUACAUUAUUUUGCUUUAUUUGUUGCUAAGUGUCUGCUUGCUAGAAAGAAAGUAGGUGCGCUUAGCGCACACGCCAGGCGCUAGAGGGUGACAACACUUAUAGCUUGGGAGCUAUUUUGGCUCAUCGCCUGCAUCUUAAUAAAUCCCAGGGGGAAAUACAUGGUGGGAUUUUUGCUACUCGUUUGGCGGCCCACUUUAAUGUUGGUAUAUGCCCUCAUGACUACUCGCUGACCAAGGUUUACCUAGACCGAGCAGCCAUGGAUCACCACCAUUUCACUAAUAAUGACUCUCCUAGCAUUCCCAUUCCUUAUAACCUCGUCUUUAGCAUUAAAACUUGUGAUAUUAUUCCCUUGUCUUCACCUGCUUUGUUUGAUUCUGCUGCUAAGGGCAGAUAUAGGAUUAUGCCUGCGGACAUCAUCGCCUACCGGAACGCUCAGGCUGCUGCGGAGGCGGCACGGGAGGAGCCUCAACAGUGGAAUGAGUGGAUGCCCGCUCCUUAGGAUCCCUACUACCCUCUAGGCUACUAAUUGGUUUCCAACUUAGGCCAAAAGCCUAAGCUUGGGGGAGUAUGUGUUUCUCACCGACAUUACAUUCAUGUCUACACAUCAUUUGAUUCGUCGGUGUUCACACUUUUUCAUUGUAUCAUCCACGCUUAGAUUUAUUUUCUUGCUUUCUUCUUGUGUGUUUGAAAAACUUUAGAAAAACCAAAAAUUAGUUCUAGUAAUUUACUUUCUAUGCAUGCUUAGUAGUAGUAUUAAAAAGAAAAUCCAAAAAGAUUUCCUUGUUCUUCUUUUGCUUGUUGGGAGCUUUCCUGUGUAAAUAGUUUUUUCUCGUUUUUGUUUUUCCCUUUUAUUUGCCUGUUCAAGAAAACCAAAAACUCCAAAAAUAUUUCAGUGCGUUUUCUCUGAAUUUCUUUUCAUUUUAUUUGAGUUGUACCGAGGAGAAGACCACGAUGAAAAUGUUGAGUGGCUCUCAUAAGAAUAAUUGUUGAACUAAUAAAGAGCACAUUUUACCUUGUCUUCUCCUAUUGAAUAAAAUGUUUGCAGAUUCCAGCUUAGUCCACAUCAUUCUUGCACUAUUAUUAUUCUCAUAUCGUUCGGUCAUGCAAGUGAAAGGCAAUAAUGAUGAUAUUCGAUGAACUGGCCGUGGCAGAGAGAAACUGGUAUGGACUCGACUUGUUCUGUUUGUGUAAAUAUGUUUAACCUAGUAUCCAUGAUUCAGUCCAUUAUGAUUAAACAUGUUUGCAAUGACAAUUAGAGAUUAUAGUUUCUCAUGCCAUGCAUAAGUAGCUGAGAGUUGAUAAUGAUUUAUCUUGGAUAUCAACAUAGCGUUAAAAUGACUGUGAUGUAGUAUGAUGAUAUGGUAUCCUCCUCUAAAUGUUUGAGUGGCUUGACUUGGCACAUGUUCAUACAUGUAGUUGAAUCAAAACCAACAUAGCCUCUAUGAUAGUUAUGUUCAUGGUGUUCAUAUCCUACUCAUGCUAGUGUCCAAUGUUACUUAUGCAUAAUACAUGGUUAUGAUCGUUGUUGCUCUCUACCUGGCCGCUUCUCAACCUAAUUGCUAACAUUCUCCUGUACUAAGUGGGAAUUCUGCUUAUACAUCAAAAAUUUUGAACCCAAAGUUAUUCCAGAUGAGUCCACUAUACCUACCUAUAUACGGUAUUACCUUGCCGUCCUAAGUAAAUUUGCAUGUGCCACCUCUAAAAACUUCUGAAAAUUAUCCUUUUUGUGGGCCUGGAUCGUUCAUGGAACGACAAGAGGCGGUCGGUAUCUUCCAUGCUAAGCGGGUUAUUCUCAGGUCGAGUGUUUAUUCACUCGCCAUCGGAUGAGAAAAGGGCGGUAAUAGGGAUGCCCAGUCCCAAACUGCAAACAUGAAAAAGAGUUCAUCUCUGAAAUAAUCAAACAAAAACUCCUAAUGGUGUCAAAACCUUUACUUUUGUCGCUUUGGAACCGCCACUAGCGUGCUUAGCAUGGAAGAUGUUGAUAACUGAUGGUCAUGAAGUAAAUGAGAAGGGUGCAUGUCUCAAAAUAAUCAUUUACCUCUGUUUUAAAAAUUGAGCUCUGGCACCUCUGCAAAUCACUGCUUCCCUUUGCGAAGGGACUAUCUAUUUACUUUUAUGUUGUGUCAUCACCUUCUUAAACAAGAGCCAGAAACUGAGAGAGCACAAUUGUCAUGAUUUAUGCAUUGUGUGUAGCUAAUGUUGGGGGCAUCACGACUGGAUAUUUUCUACCAUGAAUUACAAUCUUUAGUCACUGCUUGAACUUUGGAGGUGCUCUGCAUUUAUGUUUUGCGGUCUCAGAAAGGGCUAGUGAGAUACCACUAUUGUCAUAUUAUAUCAUGGUUGUUUUGACAACGUGUUGCUGUUCGAGAUAUUUUAUUAUUGCUCGCUAGCUGAUUAUGUCAUUGAUAUGAGUGUUUGUAAUCUUUAAGAGUUAUUGUCGGCAUGGUUAGUUAUAAUGAUUGGCUGAAAACCUGGGUGCUAUUUAAGCUUAUUUAUGCAAACAAGAGCAAAAUAGUUCAUAAAAGUUUUUUAUCACUUUCAGUUUAUCAACUUAAUUGCUUGAGGACAAGCAAAGGUUUAAGCUCGGGGGAGUUGAUACGUCUCCAACGUAUCUACUUUUCCUAACGCUUUUCCUCUUGUUUUGGACUCUAAUUUGCAUGAUUUGAAUGAAACUAACCCCGGAAUGACGCUGUUCUCAGCAGAACUACCAUGGUGUUGUUUUUGUGCAAAAAUAGAAGUUCUCGGAAUGGAACGAAACUUUGCGAGAAUUUUCUAUAUAAUAAAUAAGAAUUUCUGGAGCCAAGAUCCACCGAAGAGGGGCACCUGGGUGGGCACAACCCACCAGGGUGCGCCCCCCUUCUCCUGGCGUGCCCAGGUGGGUUGUCCCCACCUGGUGGCCCUGCAGACCCUGAUUCCAACGCUAUAAAAUCCUAUUUUCGGAGAAAAAAAUCAGGGAGAAAGAAUAAUCGUGAUCCACGAGAUGGAGCCACCGCCAAGCCCUGUUCUUCCUCGGGAGGGUAGAUCUGGAGUCCGUUUGGGGCUCCGGAGAGGGGGAUCUUUGCUCUUCGUCAUCACCAACCCUUCUCCAUCGCCAAUUCCAUGAUGCUCCCCACCGGGAGUGAGUAAUUCCUUCGUAGGCUCGCUGGUCGGUGAGGAGUUGGGAUGAGAUUCAUCAUGUAAUCGAGUUAGUUUUGUUAGGGCUUGAUCCCUAAUAUCCACUAUGUUCUUAGAAUGAUGUUGCUAUGAAUUUGCUAUGCUUAAUGCUUGUCACUUUGGGCCUGGGUGCCAUGAACUCAGAUCUGAACCGUUUAUGUUAUCAUCAUUAUAUCCAUGUUUUAGAUCGGAUCUUGCAAGUUAUAGUCACCUACUACGUGUUAUGAUCCGGCAACCCCGUAGCGACAACAACCAGGCCCACUCCCGGUGAUGACCGUAGUUUGAGGAGUUUAUGUAUUCACUAUGUGUUAAUGCUUUGUUCCGGUUCUCUAUUAAAAGGAGGCCUUAAUAUCCCUUAGUUUCCAAUAUGGACCCCGCUGCCACAGGAGGGUAGGACAAAAGAUGUCAUGCAAGUUCUUUUAAUAAAGCACGUAUGACUAUUUACAUCGAUGAGCUGGAGCUAGUGCCGUAUCGCCCUAGGUUAUAACUGUCACAUGAUGAAUAUCAUCCAACAUGUCACCGAUCCAAUGCCUAACAAUUUAUCUUAUAUUGUUUCUGCUAAGUUACUACUGCUACCAUCACUGUUACACUUGCUACAAAAUUACUGCUAUUACUCUUACUGCUGUCACUAUUAUCAAAACUAUCAAACUACUUUGCUACUGAUCACUUUUCUACAGAUAAUUAAUCUCCAGGUGUGGUUGAAUGGACAACUCAGCUGCUAAUACCUUCAAAUAUUCUUUGGCUCCCCUUGUGUCGAAUCUAUAAAGUUGGGUUGAAUACUCUACCCUCGAAAAUGGUUGCGAUCCCCUAUACUUGUGGGUUAUCAGUGGAAUUGAUUGAAGAACUAUGUCAAUGAUACUAUCAUCAGGAAGAUUAACUCCCAUCUGAGUCAACUGGUUAUGGUACCCAGAAAUUCUGAGUAUGUGUUCACUGACAGAACUAUUCUCCUCCAUCGUGCAACUAUAGAACUUGUUGGAGACUUCAUAUCUCUCAACUCAUGCAUUUUCUUGAAAUAUUAACUUCAACUCCUGGAACAUCACAUAUGCUCCAUGACGUCCAAAACGUCUUUGAAGUCCCGAUUCUAAGCCUUAAAGCAUGGUACACUGAACUAUGGAGUAGUCAUCAGAUUUAGUUUGCCAAACAUUCAUAACGUCCGGAGUUGCUCCUGCAGCGGGCCUUGCACCUAGCAGUGCAUCAAGGACAUAAUUCUUUGUUGUAGCAAUGAGGAUAAUCCUCAAGUUACGGACCCAGUCCGUGUAGUUGCUACCAUCAUCUUUCAACUUAGCUUUCCCUAGGAACACAUUAAAAUUCAAGGGAACGGUAGCACGGGCCAUUGAUCUACAACAACAUAGAUAUGCAAAAACUAUCAGGACUAAGUUCAUGAUAAAUUAAAGUUCAAUUAAUCAUAUUACUUAAGAACUCCCACUUAGAUAGACAUCCCUCUAGUCAUCUAAAUGAUCACGUGAUCCAUAUCAACUAAACUAUGCCCGAUCAUCACGUGAGAUGGAGUAGUUUUCAAUGGUGAACAUCUCUAUGUUGAUCAUAUCUACUAUAUGAUUCAUGUUUGACCUUUCGGUCUCACUGUUCCGAGGCCAUAUCUGUAUAUGCUAGGCUCGUCAAGUUUAACCUGAGUAUUUUGUAUGUGCAAAACUGUCUUACACCCGUUGUAUGUGAACGUAGAGCUUAUCACACCCGAUCAUCACGUGGUGUCUCGGCACGACGAACUGUAGCAAUGGUGCAUACUCAGGGAGAACACUUAUACCUUGACAUUUAGUGAGGGGUCAUCUUAUAAUGCUACCGCCGUACUAAGCAAAAUAAGAUGCAUAAUAGAUAAACAUCACAUGCAAUCAGAAUAUGUGACAUGAUAUGGCCAUCAUCAUCUUGUGCCUUUGAUCUCCAUCUCCAAAGCACCGUCAUGAUCUCCAUCGUCACCGACUUGACACCUUGAUCUCCAUCGUAGCGUUGUUGUCAUCUCGCCAACUAUUGCUUCUAUGACUAUCGCUAACACAUAGUGAUAAAGUAAAGAAAUUACAUGGCGAUUGCAUUUCAUACAAUGAAGCGACAAUCAUAAGGCUUCUGCCAGUUGCCGAAAUUUUUUACAAAACAUGAUCAUCUCAUACAUCAAAAUAUAUCUCAUCAUGCCUUGACCAUAUCACAUAAACAACAUGCCUUGCAGAAACAACUUAGACGUCCUCUACUUUGUUGUUGUAAGUUUUACGUGGCUGCUACGGGCUUCUAGUAAGAACCGUUCUUACCUACGCAUCAAAAUCACAACGAUGUUUUGUCAAGUUUGCUAUUUUAACCUUCAACAAGGACCGGCCAUAGUCAAAUUCGAUUCAACUAAAGUUGGAGAAACAGACACCCGCCAGCCACCUUUAUGCAAAACAAGUUGCAUGUCUGUCAGUGGAACCGUUCUCAUGAACGUGGUCAUGUAAGGUUGGUCCAGGCCGCUUCAUCCAACAAUACUGACGAAUCAAAAUAAGAUGUUGGUGGUAAGCAAUAUGACUAUGAUCACCCACAACUAUUUGUGUUCUACUCGUGCAUAUCAUCUACGCAUAGACCCGGCUUUGAUACCACUGUUGGGGAACGUAACAUGCAAUUUCAAAAAAAUUCCUACGAUCACGCAAGAUCUAUCUAGGAGAUGCAUUACAACGAGAGGGGGAGAGUGUGUCCACGUACCCUCGUAGACAGAAAGCGGAAGCAUUAGCUUAACGCGGUUGAUGUAGUCGAACAUCUUCUCGAUUCAACGAAUCAAGCACCAAAUAUACAACACCUCCGAGUUCUGCACAAGUUCAGCUCAAUGACAUCCCUCGAACUCUUGAUCUAGCAAAGUGUCAAGGGAGAGUUUCAUUAGCACGAUGGCGUUGUGGCGGUGAUGGUGAUGUGAUCCGCGCAGGGCUUUGCCUAAGCACUACGACGAUAUGACCGGCGGAGUAAACUGUGGAUGGGGAACCACACAUGACUAAGAACAAUUGAUGUGCUUUGAGGUGCCCCCUGCCCCCGUAUAUAAAGGACGAGGGGAGGAGGCCCCCAGCCCUAGGGGCUCGUCAUGGGGGGGGGGAAACCGACUAGGACUCGUGGUCCAAGUCGCCUCCUUCCUUUUCUUGGAGGUGGAAAGGGGGAAGAAGAGGGAGAGGGGGAAGGAAAGGGGGCCGCGCCCCCGUCCCCUUGUCCAAUUCGGAUAGCCCAUGGGGGGGGGGGCACCCCUUGUGGGUUCCCCUCUCUCUCCCCUAUGGCCCAUGUAGGCGCAAUACUUCUCCGGGGGGUUCCGGUAACCUCCCGGUACUUCGAAAAAUACCCGAACCUUUCCGAAACCAUUCCGGUGUCCGAAUACUAUCGUCCAAUAUAUCAAUCUUUACCUCUCGACCAUUUCAAGACUCCUCGUCAUGUCCGUGAUCUCAUCCGGGACUCCGAACAAUCUUCGGUCACCAAAACACAUAACUCAUAAUACAAAUUGUCAUCGAACGUUAAGCAUGCGGACCCUACGGAUUCGAGAACUAUGUAGACAUGACCGAGACACAUCUCCGAUCAAUAACCAAUAGAGGAACCUAGAUGCUCAUAUUGGUUCCUACAUAUUCUACGAAGAUCUUUAUCGGUCAAACUGCAAUGACAACAUACGUAAUUCCCUUUGUCAAUGGUAUGUUACUUGCCCAAGAUUCGAUCGUCGUUAUCCUCAUACCUACUUCAAUAUUGUUACUGGCAAGUAUGUUUACCCGUUCUGUAAUGCAUCAUUCCGUAACUAACUCAUUAGUCACAUUGGUUGCAAGGCUUAUCAUGAUGUGCAUUACCGUGAGGGCCCAGAGAUACCUCUCUGAUACUCGGAGUGACAAAUCCUAAUCUUGAUCUAUGCCAACCCAACAAACACCUUUGGAGAUACAUGUAGAGCAUCUUUAUAAUCAUCUAGUUAUGUUGUGAUGUUUGAUAGCACACAAGGUAUUCCUCCGGCAUUCCGGAGUUGCCUAAUAUCAUAGUUAAAGGAAUAUGUAUAGGUCAUGAAGAAAGCAAUAGCAAUAAAACUUAACGAUCAUUAUGCUAAGCUGACGGAUGGGUCUUGUCCAUCACAUCAUUAUCCUAAUGACGUGAUCCCGUUCAUCAAAAGACAAAACAUGUCUAUGGUUGGGAAACUUAACCAUCUUUGAUAAACGAACUAGUCUAGUAGAGGCUUACUAGGGACACAGGGUUUUGUCUAUGUAUCCACACAUGUAUCAAGUUUCCGGUUAAUACAAUUCUAGCAUGAAUAAUUAACAUUUAUCAUGAUAUAAGGAAAUAUAAAAUAACAACUAUAGUAUUGCCUCUAGGGCAUAUUUCCUUCAUGUAUAACAACCACACUCGCAAACUAAUUCUAUUUCCCAAAUUCUCCUCUCUUUGAGUUCGAGGAGCAAACUUCUUUUUACUCCCCAGAGUACUAAAUCUAGAUCUUGCUUGUUGAGUCUGGAUCUUGUUUGUUGAGUCUCAAAACUGGAUCUUGCUUGUUGAGCAAUAUAUCCAUCUCAGUGCAUGUCAUGUCUUCCUUGUCAACUGAGUGGUUAGGUAGCUGGACUGGUUAUGUUUUUUUUGCUUUUUGUGUUAGCCCACGGUCUAAUUGAAAACCCACCGCACAGAGGGCCGUCCGUAGCGAAGCGCGGUUGGCCGAACUCAAAGGUGGCAGAAACCAACAUCAACAACAAUGAGAGAGAGAAAAGUUGAAGGAACAAACGGGAGAUGAUGAGUUUAACUAACAAGCCGAGGUAGACAUUAGAGAUCAGAUUCAGAUGGGCAGGGUUUUUAGAGCGGAGGGAAAACUGUUAAAGAAAUCUACAACCAAAUUGGUGGAAGAUCAAAUUGUCCUGGAAUUAAACAUGUUGUUGUCAUGCAACAACACAAGAUGAACUUCUCAGCAUGGUGGGACAUGUAUGUGCAAAUCGAUGCACUGCACCGUAGUAGGAAGCAUAUCCAAUCCAAUUCAUGAAAAUCGGAAGAGAUGGUUAUGUAGCACAUGGACCAGUGAAGAGAGCUAGAAUUAUUCAAAUAGAGGCUGGUUGUUUUUUGUUUGAUCAGUCGGUCUUUUUUCUCUUUCAAGAAUUCAGGCUUCCAUAAUUGACGAUCGGAAAUAUUUCGGUCUUCUCAGUUCUACACUAUUCGGUCUUCAAUCUUUAUAGAAAUGGUGUUCGGCCCUAAACAAACAAACCAAAUUUCAUGCUUAAGUUCAGAUUCGCAUACAUUAUAGUAGAAGUGUAUGCAAUCCGAAUUUAGACAAUAGGCAUGUGUAACAGGUGUAGAAACAAAAAUUCCUAGUUCAGACAACAUGUGUAUACAGUAGAUGUAUGCAACUAGAAUUGUGACGUAAACUUCCAGAGAAGACUGAUGACUGUGCUAAUUGUGCUAUAAACAUCCAGAGAAUUGUGUCAAUUCAGUCUAUUCAAUUUAUUCUGUCAUCCAGAAAACAAGACCGAUCCGACCGAACUUAACUCGGUCUUCUAGUUUUGACAACCGGUUUUAGCUUGGUCUUUUUUAUAGUCCGGUCUUUACGGAUUCGGUCUUGGUCUUUAUGGGUUCGGUCUUUGGUUUUAUGCACGGGCUUGCAUACGACCACAUAAUAUAAUUGUUAUCUUCCUAAAACACUUUUUUAUCAGUUUUGUCAUUGGUUGGGCCACACUACUCACUUUCCACUAAAACUUUAAACUACUCAAAAAUGUCAACCUUACAUUAAGGUGUGCCUAAAAAUUCCACUCGGCACCAUUACCGUACCGUCAAAGGCCAUUGCCCAGAAGUGACUGCUACCUCUCAAGCAUGCGUUGGUUUUCCCUUGAAGAGGAAAGGAUGAUGCAGCAAAGUAGCAUAAGUAUUUCCCUCAGUUUUUGAGAACCAAGGUAUCAAUAGAGUAGGAGGUCACACGCAAAUCGCCUCAUACCUACACAAACAAGUAAGAACCUUCCAACCAACGCGAUAAAGGGGUUGUCAAUACCUUCACGGCCACUUGCAAAAGUGAGAUCUGACAGAGAUAAUAAGAUAAAUAUUUUUGGUAUUUUUAUGUUAUAGAUUGGAAAGUAAAGAUUGCGAAAUAAACGGAAGCAAAUAUAAUAAAUUGAUAGGAAGGCAAUAUGAUGGAAGAUAGACCCGGGGGCCAUAGGUUUCACUAGUGGCUUCUCUCAAGAUUGCAUAAUUUACGGUGGGUGAACAAAUUACUGUCAAGCAAUUGAUAAAAAAGCGCAUAGUUAUGAGAUUAUCUAGGCAUGAUCAUCUAUAUAGGCAUCACGUCCAUAACAAGUAGACCGACUCCUGCCUGCAUCUACUACUAUUACUCCACACAUCGACCGCUAUCCAGCAUGAUCAUGUAUAUAGGCAUCACGUCUGUGAUAAGUAGAUCGAAACGAUUCUCCAUCUACUACUAUUACUCCACACAUCGACCUCUAUCCAACAUGCAUAUAGAGUAUUAAGUUCAUAAGAACAGAGUAACGCAUUAGGCAAGAUGACAUGAUGUAGAAGGAUAAACUCAAGCAAUAUGAUAUAAACCCCAUCUUUUUAUCCUCGAUGGCAACAAUACAAUACAUGCCUUGCUGGCCCUGCUGUCACUGGGAAAGGACACCGCAAGAUUGAAACCAAAGCUAAGCACUUCUCCCAUUGCAAGAAAGAUCAAUCUAGUAGGCCAAAUUAAACCAAUAAAUCGUAGAGACUUGCAAAGAUAACAAAUCAUACAUAUAAGAAUUCAGAGAAGAACCAAAUAUUAUUCAUAGAUAAUCUUGAUCAUAAACCCACAAUUCAUCAGAUCUCGACAAACACACCGCAAAAAGAAUUACAUCGAAUAGAUCUCUAAGAGAAUCGAGGAGAACUUUGUAUUGAGAUCCGAAGAGAGAGAAGAAGCCAUCUAGCUAAUAAUUAUGGACCCGAAGGUUUGUGGUAAACUACUCACACAUCAUCGGAGAGGCUAUGGUGUUGAUGUAGAAGCCCUCCGUGAUCGAUUCCCCCUCCGGCGGAGCGCCGGAAAAGGCUCCAAGAUGGGAUCUCACGGGUACAGAAGGUUGCCAUGGUGGAAAUAGGGUUUCGUUGUGCUCUCGGAUGUUUUUUUGGGUAUAUGAGAAUAUAUAGGCGAAAGAAGUAGGUCGGUGGAGCCACGAGGGGCCCACGAGGGUGGGGGGCGUGCCUACGCCCCAGGGCGCGCCCUCCUGCCUCGUGGCCUCCUCGUUUCUUUCUUGACGUCCACUCCAAGUCUCCUGGAUUGCGUCUGUUCCAAAAAUAACUCUCCCGAAGGUUUCAUUCCGUUUGGACUCUGUUUGAUAUUCCUUUUCUGCGAAACACUGAAAUAGGCAAAAAGAACAACAAUUUGCACUGGGCCUUGGGUUAAUAGGUUAGUCCCAAAAAUAAUAUAGAAGUGUAUAAUAAAGCCCAUUAAACAUCGAAAAUAGAUAAUAUAAUAGCAUGGAACAAUAAAAAAUUAUAGAUACGUUGGAGACGUAUCAAGCAUCCCCAAGCUUAAUUCCUGCUCGUCCUUGAGUAGGUAAAUCAUAAAACAGAAUUUUUGAUGUGGAAUGCUACCUUACAUAAUUCUCAAUGUAAUUUCCUUUGUUGUGGCAUGAAUUUUCAGAUCCGAAAGAUUCAAGAUAAAAGUUUAAUAUUGACAUAAAAAAUAAUAAUACUUCAAGCAUACUAACAAAGCAAUCAUGUCUUCUACAAAAUCAUAUAGUCUAGCUAUGCUCUAUCUUAAUCACACAAAGUAUUUAAAUCAUGCACAACCCCGGUGACAAGCCAAGCAAUUGUUUCAUACUUUUGAUGUUCUUAAACCUUUUCAAUCUUCAUGCAAUACAUGAGCGUGAGCCAUGGACAUAGCACUAUAUGUGGAAUAGAAGGGUGGUUGUGGAGAAGACAAAAAAUAAGAAGAAGAUAGUCUCACAUCAACUAGGUGUAUCAACGGGCUAUGGAGAUGCCCAUCAAUAGAUAUCAAUGUGAGUGAGUAGGGAUUGCCAUGCAACAGAUGCACUAGAGCUAUAAGUGUAUGAAAGCUCAACAAAAGAAACUAAGUGGGUGUGCAUCUAACUCGCUUGCUCACGAAGAUCUAGGGCAUUUUGACGAAGCCCAUCAUUGGAAUAUACAAGCCAAGUUCUAUAAUGUAAAAUUCCCACUAGUUUAUGAAAGUGACAACAUAGGAGACUCUCUAUCAUGAAGAUCAUGGUGGUAUGUUGAAGCACAAGUGUGGUAAGUAACAUUGUCCCUUCUCUCUUUUUCUCUCAUUUUUUUAUUUGGGCCUUUUUCUCCUGUUUUAUGUACUCUUUUUUUUUCUUUCAUCCGGAGUCUCAUCCCGACUUGUGGGGGAACCAUAGUCUCCAUCAUCCUUUCCUCACUUGGGACAAUGCUCUAAUAAUGAUGAUCAUCACACUUUUAUUUACUUACAACUCAAAAAAUUACAACUCAAUACUUAGAACAAAUACAACUCUAUGUGAAUGCCUCCAGUGGUGUACCGGGAUAUGCAAUGAAUCAAGAGUGACAUGUAUGAAAGAAUUAUAAUGGUGGCUUUGCCACAAAUACGAUGCCAACUACAUGCUCAUGCAAAGUAAUAUGACAAUGAUGAAGUGUGUCAUAACAAACGGAACGGUGGUAAGUUGCAUGGCAACAUACUAUCUCGGAAUGGCUAUGGAAAUGCCAUAAUAGGUAGGUAUGGUGACUGUUUUGAGGGAGGUAUAUGGUGGGUGUAUGAUACCGACGAAAGGUGCGGGGUAUUAGAGAGGCUAGCAAUGGUGGAAGGGUGAGCGUGCGUAUAAUACAUAGACUCAACAUUAGUCAUAAAGAACUCACAUACUUAUUGCAAAAAUCUAUUAGUUAUCGAAAUGAAGUACUACGCGCAUGCUCCUAGGGGGAUAGAUUGAUAGGAAAAGACCAUCGCUCGUCCCCGACUGCCACUCAUAAGGAAGACAAUCAAUAAUUGAAUCAUGCUCCGACUUCAUCACAUAACGGUUCACCAUACGUGCAUGCUACGGGAAUCACAAGCUUUAGAACAAGUAUUUCUCAAAUUUACAACUACUCAACUAGCAUGACUCUUAUAUCACCAUCUUCAUAUCUCAAAACAAUCAUCAAGUAUCAAACUUCUCAUAGUGUUCAAUGCACUUUUUAUGAAAGUUUUUAUUAUAUCCAUCUUCGAUGCCUAUCAUAUUAGGACUAAUUUUAUGACCAAAGCAAAUUACCAUGCUUUUCUAAGAGACUGUCAAAAUACUAUAAGUGAAGCAUGAGAGAUCAGUAAUUUCUAUAAAAUAAAACCACCACCGUGCUCUAAAAGAUAUAAGUGAAGCACAAAGAGUAUUCUAAUAAAUUCCGAUUCAUGUGUGUCUCUUCAAAAGGUGUGUACAAAAAGGAUGGUUGUGGUACUCAAAUCAUACAAGAUGCUUCAAGCAAAACACAUAUCAUGCGGUGAAUAAAAAUAUAGCCCUAAGUAAAGUUAUUGAUAGACGAAGACGAAAGAGGGGAUGCCUUCCGGGGCAUCCCCAAGCUUAGGCUUUUGGUUGUCCUUGAAUUUUACCUUGGGGUGCCUUGGGCAUCCCCAAGAUUAGUCUCUUGCCACUCUUUAUUCCAUAAUCCAUCAAAUCUUUCCCACAAAAAAAUCCAUCAAAUCUUUACCCAAAACUUGAAAACUUCACAACACAAAACUCAACAGAAAAUCUUAUGAGCUCCGUUAGUAUAAGAAAACAAAUCACCACUUUAAGGUACUGCAAUGAGCUCAUUGUUUAUUUAUAUUGGUGUUAAUCCUACUAUUCCAACUUCUCUAUGGUUCAUACCCCCCGAUACUAGCCAUAGAUUCAUCAAAAUAAGCAAGCAACACACGAAAAACAGAAUCUGUCAAAAACAGAACAAUCUGUAGUAAUCUGUAUCAAACAUAUACUUAUGUAACUCCACAAAUUCUUAAAUAAAUUGGUGGACGUGAGUACUUUGUCUAUUAAUCAUCUUAAAAAAGAAUCAACCUAAAAGAACUCUCCAUUAAAAAAUGGCAACGAAUCUCGUGAGUGCUAAAGUUUCUGUUUGUUUACAGCAAGAUCAUAAAGACUUCACCCAAGGCUUCCCAAAGGUUCUACUUGGCAUAAACACUAAUUAAAACAUAAAACCACAUCUAACCAUAGGUUAGAUGAAUUAUUUAUUACUAAACAUAAUCAAAAAGCAAGAAACAAAAAUAAAAUUGGGUUGCCUCCCAACAAGCGCUAUCGUUUAACGCCGCUAGCUAGGCAUAAAAGCGAGAAUAGAUCUAGGUAUUGCCAUCUUUGGUAGGCAAUCCAUAAGUGGCUCUCAUAAUAUAUUCAUAAGGUAAUUUAACUUUGUUUCUAGGAAAGUGUUCCAUGCCAUUCCUUAACGGAAAUUGGAAUCUAAUAUUUCCUUCUUUCAAAUCAAUAAUUGCACCAAUCGUUCUAAGGAAAGGUCUACCAAGAAUAAUAGGACAUGUAGAAUUGCAAUCUAUAUCAAGGACAAUAAAACCUACGGGCACAUAAUUCGUAUUUGCAACAAUAAUAACAUCAUUAAUCCUUCCCAUAGGUUUCUUAAUGGUGGAAUCCGCAAGAUGCAAGUUUAAAGAACAAUCAUCAAAUUCGCGGAAACCUAGCACAUCACACAAAGUUUUUGGAAUCGUGGAAACACUAGCACCCAAAUCACACAAAGCAUAUCAUUCAUGAUCUUUAAUUUUAUUUUUAAUAGUAGGUUCCCACUCAUCAUAAAGUUUUCUAGGGAUAUAGACUUCUAAUUCAAGCUUUUCUUCAUAAGUUUGCAUUAAAGCAUCAACGAUAUGUUCAGUAAAAGCUUUAUUUUGACUAUAAGCAUGAGGAGAAUUUAACACGGAUUGCAACAAGGAAAUACAAUCUAUUAAUGAACAAUUAUAAUAAUUAAAUUCCUUGAAAUCCAGAAUAGUGGGUUCAUUGCUAUGUAAAGUUUUGACCUCUUCACUCCAACUUUUACCAAUUUUUGCAUCAAGAUCUAAAAACUCCGAAUCAUUGGGACGCCUUUUAACUAAAGUUGACUCAUCUCCAGUCCCAUCAUUAUCAAGAUUCAUGUUGUAAAACAAAGAUUUAAUAGGAGACACAUCAAUCACUUUUAGAUCUUCAUCCUUAUUAUCAUGAAAACUAGAAGAACACGCUUUCAUAAAGCAAUCUUUUUUAGCACGCAUCCUAGCGGCUAUUUCCUUGCACUCAUCAAUGGAAAUUCUCAUAGCUUUGAGAGACUCAUUGAUAUCAUGCUUAGGUGGAAUAGAUCUAAGUUUCAAAGAAUCAACAUCAAGACAAAUGCUAUCCACAUUCCUAGCCAACUCAUCAAUCUUAGGAAAUUUUUCUUCAAGCAAAGCAUUGAAAUUAUUUUGCGAAAUCAUAAAUUCUUUAACACUAGUCUCAUAAUCAGAGGGCAUCUUAUUAAAAUUUCCAUAAGAGUUGUUGUAGGAAUUACCAUAAUUAUUAGAGGAAUUACUAGGGAACGACCUAGGAUUAUAGUUUCCUCUAUAUGCGUUGUUACCAAAAUUGUUGAUACCAACAAAAUUCACAUCCAUAGAUUCAUUAUUAUUCUCAAUCAAAGUAGACAAAGGCAUAUCAUUAGGAUCAGAUGAAACACUCUUAUUAGCAAACAACUUCAUAAGUUCAUCCAUCUUUCCACUUAAAACAUUAAUCUCUUCUAUUGCAUGAACUUUUUUACUAGUAGAUCUUUCGGUGUGCCAUUGAGAAUAAUUAACCAUAAUAUUAGGAGUUUAGUAGCUUCUCCUAAAGUGAUUUCCAUAAAAGUGCCUCCCGCGGCCGAAUCUAAUAGAUUUCUUGAAGCAAAAUUCAAUCCAGCAUAAAUUUUUUGUAUGAUCAUCCAUAAAUUCAAUCCAUGAGUGGGGCAAUUACGUAUCAUUAAUUUCAUCCUCUCCCAAGCUUGUGCAACAUGUGCAUGAUCAAGUUGCUUAAAAUUCAUAAUAUCAUUUCUAAGAGAGAUGAUCUUAGCGGGAGGAAAAUACUUAGAGAUUAAAGCAUCUUUGCACUUAUUCCAUGAAUCAAUACUAUUUUUAGGCAAAGACGAAAACCAAGUUUUAGCACGAUCUCUAAGUGAAAACGAAAAUAGCUUCAAUUUAACAAUAUCAUUAUCCACGUCUUUCUUCUUUUGCAUAUCACACAAAUCAACAAAGUUGUUUAGAUGUGUAGCGGCAUCUUCACUAGGAAGGCCAGAGAAUUGAUCUUUCAUGACAAGAUUUAGCAAAGCAGCAUUAAUUUCACAAGAUUCAACAUCGGUAAUAGGAGCAAUCAGAGUGCUAAGAAAAUCAUUGUUGUUGGUAUUGGAAAAAAUCACACAAUAUAGUAGUGUCUCGAGCCAUCGUGACAAACAAUCCAACACACAAGCACACCAGAGGCAAGCGAGAAGAGACGAACGGAAAAAGAGGGCGAAUAAAUGGCAAGGGUGAAGUGGGGGAGAGGAAAAUGAGAGGCAAAUGGCAAAUAAUAUAAUGCGAGGGAUAAGAGUUUGUGAUGGGUACUUGGUAUGUCUUGACUUGUGCGUAAGGCUCCCCGACAAUGGCGCUAGAAAUACUUCUUGCUACCUCUCGAGCAUGCGUUGGUUUUCCCUUGAAGAGGAAAGGGUGAUGCAGCAAAGUAGCAUAAGUAUUUCCCUCAGUUUUUGAGAACCAAGGUAUCAAUCCAGUAGGAGGUCACACGCAAAUCGCCUCGUACCUACACAAAAAAAUAAGAACCUUGCAACCAACGCGAUAAAGGGGUUGUCAAUCCCUUCAUGUCCACUUGCAAAAGUGAGAUCUGAUAGAGAUAAUAAGAUAAACAUUUUUGGUAUUUUUAUGUUAUAGAUUGGAAACUAAAGAUUGCGAAAUAAACAGAAGCAAAUAUAAUAAAUUGAUAGGAAGGCAAUAUGAUGGAAGAUAGACCCGGGGACCAUAGGUUUCACUAGUGGCUUCUCUCAAGAUUGCAUAAUUUAUGCUGGGUGAAAAAAUUACUAUCGAGCAAUUGAUAGAAAAGCGAAUAAUUAUGAUAAUAUCUAGGCAUGAUCAUGUAUAUAGGCAUCAUGUCCGCGACAAGUAGAUCGAAAUGAUUCUGCAUCUACUACUAUUACUCCACACAUCAACCGCUAUCCAGCAUGCAUCUAGAGUAUUAAGUUCAUAAGAACAGACUACCGCAUUAGGCAAGAUGACAUGAUGUAGAGGGAUAAACUCAAGCAAUAUGAUAUAAACCCCAUCUUUUUAUCCUCGAUGGCAACAAUACAAUAUGUACCUUGCUGCCCCUGCUAGCACUAGGAGAGGACACCGCAAGAUUGAACCCAAAGCUAAGCACUUCUGCCAUUGCAAGAAAGAUCAAUCUAGUAGGCCAAACUAAACCAAUAAUUCGGGGGGACUUGCAAAGAUAACAAAUCAUACAUAUAAGAAUUCAGAGAAUAACCAAAUAUUAUUCAUAGAUAAUCUUGAUCAUAAACCCACAAUUCAUCCAAUCUCGACAAACACACCGCAAAAAGAAUUGCAUCGAAUAGAUCUCCAAGAGAAUCGAGGAGAACUUUGUAUUGAGAUCCAAAGAGAGAGAAGAAGCCAUCUAGCUAAUAACUGUGGACCGAAGGUCUGUGGUAAACUACUCACACAUCAUCGGAGAGGCUAUGGUGUUGAUGUAGAAGCCCUCCGUGAUCAAGUCCCCCUCCGGCGGAGCGCCGGAAAAGGCUCCAAGAUGGGAUCUCACGGGUACAGAAGGUUGCGAUGGUGGAAAUAGGGUUUUGUUGUGCUCUCGGAUGCUUUUGGAGUAUAUGAGAAUAUAUAGGCAAAAGAAGUAGGUCGGUGGAGCCACGAGGGGCCCACGAGGGUGGGGGCGCGCCUACCCCCCUUGGGCGCGUCCUCCUGCCUCGUGGCCUCCUCGUUUCUUUCUUGACGUCCACUCCAAGUUUCCUGGAUUGCGUUUGUUCCAAAAAUAACUCUCCAGAAGGUUUCAUUCCAUUUGGACUCCGUUUGAUAUUCCUUUUCUACGAAACACUGAAAUAGGCAAAAAAUAGCAAUUUGCACUGGGCUUUGGGUUAAUAGGUUAGUCCCAAAAAUAAUAUAAAAGUGUAUAAUAAAGCCCAUUAAACAUCCAAAGCAGAUAAUAUAAUAGCAUGGAACAAUAAAAAAUUAUAGAUACGUUGGAGACGUAUCAGUGACAAAAAUACGCUGGACCCAGUUGUUAGUGUUCCCUUUACAACUCAUUGUAACCUGUGAUCGAUUCCCCAUUUUUUGAAAAGGGGUCAGCCCCGACCUCUGCAUCAGAAUGAUGCAUACGACCAAAUUAUUAAUAAUAAGCAAAAUGUUCAACAAAAGUUCAGGUCUCUAUAGUAAAGAAGCUCACAAAGAGCAAAAGCAACAUGACAGGAUAGCCACAACCGGCAGGCCAAAAAAUAUAAGAUAAGAAACUAAACACCUACCCUAUUACAUGACCGCCGUCCAAACCGGUUGAAUAUAUCCCAAGCUACCGUCUCCCAUUGGAUAGAUCCAGUAACCAAACACUCCCUGGCCUCCGUCGGAGUAAGUAGCGAUCACAUACGGAUGAGUGUAGUGGCCCGGAAGAUAACCUAUAGGAAAUGAUUUUUUGUUGUUAUUUUGAAAACCAAAUCAUUUCUGCAGUUCCAGACUACCCAAAAUAAAGCACAUACUCCUACAUGGAUAUGUCUCACAGUUUCAGAGUCUAACCCAUCUAACAACGUCCCAAAUAACGUGUUGAUGGUAUUUGGAGGAGUAAUAUUAAAAGCUAGGUGUACUGUCCGCCACAAAUUUUUUCCAAGGGACAGUCGAGAAAGAGGUGUUUGAUGGAUUUGUCCGUAUCACAGAAACUACAUCUUGUAGAUCCUGCCAAUUGCGUUUUGCCAAAUUGUCCUUAGUUAGAAUGACUUGUUUAUGGACAAACCACACAAACACUUUGAUUUUUAAAGGCACUUUGACUUUCCACACAUGUUUCAAACGAGGAGUGGCGCUAGAGUUGAUAACAUCCAAAUACAUGGAUUUAACAGAAAACUCUCCAUUCUUUGUUAGUUUCCAGCUCAACUGAUCGGGUUGUUGAGAAAGGUGGACCUCCAUCAAUCUUCCCACAAGGUGAAUCCAAACUUCCCAACGAUUUCCCGCUAGAGUCCUCCUAAAUUGAAUAUUUAGAGGAUUUGGCUGUAAUACUGUUGCAAUUUAAGCUUCUCUUCGCUGCAUAAUAUUAUAAAGAGAAGGAUAUUGGAGUGCAAGGGGUGUCUCCCCUAGCCAUGUGUCCUCCCAGAACCUCGUGGUAGUACCAUUUCCAACUACAAAUUUUGUCCUGUUGAAAAAGGCUGAUUUCACUUUCAGCAGUCCUUUCCAAAAAGGUGAAUCAGUCGGCCUCACCGUCACCUGGGAUAGUGUUUUGGAAUGAAGGUACUUGUUUCGCAGGAUUUGGGGCCAUGUGGCACCCGUCUCUACAGAUACCUUAUACAACCACUUGCUGAGUAAACAUCUGUUCUUCACCUCUAGGUUUUCAAUGCCGAGACCCCCUUGGUCUUUCGGUCUACAAAUGAUAUCCCAUUUAGCGAGUCUGUAUUUUCGUUUCAAUUCAUCACUCUGCCAGAAGAAGCGCGAUCGAUAGAAGUCUAGCAUUUUUCGGACUCCAACUGUGUCGGUGUACUAGAGUAGGGGUAUCCUAGUAUCCCGAACUUGUGCACGGGCAGUUGCAGCACCCCGCGGCAAGGCUUACCGGGCGACCGCCAAGGUCCUCCAUGGUUCCUUUGGAGACAUUCAAGAACAAAGUAUUCAAGCCUAGGAGACAAGGCCCCGGCAAGAGGAGCUUGCCGGGAAGGCCAACCAAGGCAUCCCAAGGCCUGGUGAGCGACAAGCUUCCGGACCCGACAAGACAACGGCCGCGGCAGGCGGCCACUCUGUACCCACACUCCAGCACAUCCACCAACGUGUUGUCCUGGAGGCCUUUCCAGGCGCGCGUGGCGGGAGGCUGUGCAGCCAGCGGUGCGCGGUGGCAUGCGAAGCUGACAAGACUGCCAUCGUGGCGAGCGGUGGCGUCCCUGACGGUACCUUUCUGCACUGUUUGGGCGACACAGACGGGCAUUUAAUGCCCUUGUCCCCUGCCGUCAGGGUUAGGUAGGAUACACUGUACAGGUAGCUGUACCAACCACCUCUCUUUUUACAUUUUUACCCUUGUCUACGUUGCCACCUGUCGGUGACCCCUUUAGCGUAUAAAAGGAGGCCCAUGCGCAACGUAGAAGGGGUUCGACUCAUUGAUAAGCCAGAAAAACACUUAGCUAGCUCUCCCGAGCAAGAACAAAAUACAAUCAGACAAGCAGCAGUAGGAGUGUUAUCUCUUCAGAGAGCUCCGAAGCUGGGUAAAUUGCUCGUGUGCUUCGCCUCGAUCCGCUCUUCGUGCGAUCUCCGCCCCCCGCCGAACCGAAAGGGGCCACGGUCCGCCGGCCCCAUAGGUGUUCGUGGAUCAGUUUCCCCGACAAACUGGUACCUCAAAAAAAGACAAGAGAAACAUAGGCAUACUCGUAAGAACCAAAUUAAUGAGAAUUAAUCGGCCUCCGUAUGACAUAAGCUUGACCUUCCAGCAGCUUAGUUUCUUUUCAAAUUGAUCCUCAAUGCACUUCCAUUCUUUGUUAGAAAGCUUGCGAUGGUGAAUUGGUAUACCCAAAUACGCGAAGGGUAAAGACCCCAAUUCACAGCCAACCAAUUGUUUGUAAGCUUCUUGUUCAUCUUUAGCUCUUCCAAAGCAGAACAAUUCGCUUUUGUGGAAGUUAAUCUUUAACUCCGAUAAUUGUUCAAACAGACAUAACACAAGCUUCAUGUUUCUUACUUCUGCCAAAUCAUGCUUCAAUAGGAGGUAAAUUCUUAACAUCUUCAGCUUUAAUACCUUUUUCUUUCAUUGAUUUCUUUGCCUCUUGCAUAUCUUCAGGACUGAGAAAUAAAACACCUCUCUUCUUCGGAGUGGGUUUAGGAAUAGGCUCGGGAGUUGGCUCAAUUGGUUCAGGAAUUACUUCAGGAAUUGGCUCGGGAAGAGUCCAAUUAUUUUCAUUAGUCAACAUAUUAUUCAAUAGUAUUUCAGCUUUGUCGACUGUUCUUUCCCUGAAAACACAACCAGCACAACUAUCCAAGUAGUCCUUGGAAGCAUCGGUUAGUCCAUUAUAAAAGAUAUCAAGUAUUUCAUUUUUUCUUAAGAGGAUGAUCAGGCAAAGCAUUAAGUAAGCGGAGAAGCCUCGCCCAAGCUUGUGGGAGACUCUCUUCUUUGAUUUGCACAAAAUUAUAUAUUCCCCGCAAGGCAGCUUGUUUCUUAUGAGCAGGGAAAUAUUUAGCAGAGAAGUAAUAAAUCAUAUCCUGGGGACUACGCACACAACCAGGAGCAAGAGAAUUAUACCAAGUCUUAGCAUCACCCUUUAAUGAGAACGGAAAUAUCUUAAGGAUAUAUAAAUAACGAGACUUCUCAUAAUUAGUAAACAGGGUGGCUAUAUCAUUCAAUUUGGUCAGAUGUGCCACAACAGUUUCAGAUUCAAGGCCAUAAAAAGGAUCAGAUUCAACUAAAGUAAUAAUAUCUGGAUCAACAGAGAAUUCAUAAUCCUUAUCAGUAACACAGAUAGGUGAAGUAGCAAAAGCAGGAUCGGGUUUCAUUCUAGCAUUAAGAGACCGCUGCUUCCAUUUAGCUAAUAAUUUCUUAAGAUCAUUUCUAUCAUUGCAAGAAAGAAUUUCCAUAGCAGCUGUUUCAUGCAUAACAUAACCCUUAGGAACAACAGGUAAAACAUAAUCAUUGGGGGGACCUUCAUCAUCACUAUCAUCAGUAAUAGGAUCUUCAGUAAUUUCAUUCCCCCUAAAUCUAGCAAGUUGUUCAUCAAGAAAUUCACCUAAUGGCAAAGUAGUAUCACGCACAGAAGUAGUUUCAUCAUGCAUAGCAGAAGUGGCAUCAUCAAUAACAUGCGACGUAUCAGAAUUCAUAGCUGUAGUAGGUUUAGGUGUCGCAAGCCUACUAAUAACGGAAGGAGAAUCUAGUGCAAAGCUAGAUGGCAGUUCCUUACCUCCCCUCGUAGUUGAGGGCAAAAUAGUAGUUCGAUCGUCUUUCAAGUUCUUCAUAGUGAUCAACAGAUAUAAAUCCCAAGUGACUCAGAGAAUAGAGCUAUGCUCCCCGGCAACGGCGCCAGAAAUUAGUCUUGAUAACCCACAAGUAUAGGGGAUCGCAACAGCUUUUGAGGGUAGAGUAUUCAACCCAAAUUUAUUGAUUCGACACAAGGGGAGCCAAAGAAUAUUCUUGAGUAUUAGCAGUUGAGUUGUACAUUCAACCACACCUGGAUAACUUAGUAUCUGCAGCAAAGUGUUUAGUAGCAAAAGUGGUAUGAUAAUAAAGGUAACGGUAGCAAAAGUAAAGAUAAAUGUUUUUGGGUUUUUGUAGUAGUUCUAAUAGUAGCAACAGAAAAGUAAAUAAGCAAAGAACAAUAUGUGAAAAGCUCGUAGGCAAUGGAUCAGUGAUGGAUAAUUAUGCCGGAUGCGAUUCCUCAUGCAAUAGUUAUAACAUAGGGUGAUAUAGAACUAGCUCCAAUUCAUCAAUGUAAUGUAGGCAUGUAUUCCAUAAAUAGUCAUACAUGCUUAUGGAAAAGAACUUGCAUGACAUCUUUUGUCCUACCCUCCCGUGGCAGCGGGGUCCUUACGGAAACUAAGGGAUAUUAAGGCCUCCUUUUAAUAGAGAACCGGACCAAAGCAUUAACACAUAGUGAAUACAUGAACUCCUCAAACUACGGUCAUCACCGAGAAGUAUCCCGAUUAUUGUCACUUUGGGGUUGUCGGAUCAUAACACAUAAUAGGUGACUAUAGACUUGCAAGAUAGGAUCAAGAACACACAUAUAUUCAUGAAAACAUAAUAGGUUCAGAUCUGAAAUCAUGGCACUCAGGCCCUAGUGACAAGCAUUAAGCAUAGCAAAGUCAUAUCAAAGUCAUAGAUAGAUCAUAUAACAAUCCCUCAACAUGCAACAAAGAGUCACACCAAAGCCACUAAUAGCGGAGAAGAAAUGUAGUGAUUAUGGUAGGGUACGAAACCACCUCAAAGUUAUUCUUUCAGAUCGAUUUAUUCAAGAGUUCGUACUAGAAUAACACCUUAAGACACAAAUCAACCAAAACCCUAAUGUCACCUAGAUACUCCAUUGUCACCUCAAGUAUCCGUGGGCAUGAUUAUAUGAUAUGCAUCACACAAUCUCAGAUUCAUCCAACCAACACAAAGUCAUUCAAAGAGUGCCCCAAAGUUUCUACCGGAGAGUCAAGAACGUGUGCCAACCCCUAUGCAUAGGUUCAUGGGCGGAACCCGCAAGUUGGUUACCAAAACAUACAUCAAGAGGCACGUGAUAUCCCAUUGUCACCACAGAUAAACACGGCAAGACAUACAUCAAGUGUUCUCAAAUAAAGACUCAAUCCAAUAAGAUAACUUCAAGAGGGAAACUCAAUUCAUCACAAGAGAGUAGAGGGGGGAGAAACAUCAUAAGAUCCAACUAUAAUAGCAAAGCUCGCGAUACAUCAAGAUUGUGUGAAGUCGAGAACACGAGAGAGAGAGAUCAAACACAUAGCUAUUGGUACAUACCCUCAGCCCCGAGGGUAAACUACUCCCUCCUCAUCAUGAAGAGCGCCGGGAUGAUGUAGAUGGCCACCGGUGAUGGAUUCCCCCUCCGGCAGUGUGCCGGAACAGGCUCCCGAGAGGUUUUUGGUGGCUACAGAGGCUUGCGGAGGCGGAACUCCUGAUCUAUCUUGAUUUUCGAUGGUUUUAGGGUACGUAGGCAUAUAUAGGCGAAAGAAGUCGGUCGGGAGGUGCUUGAGGGGUCCACGAGACAGGGGGCUGCGCCCUAUAGGGGGGUGCCCCCUAUCUCCUGGGCUCCUCGAGGGUCUUCUGACUUGAUCUCCAAGCCUCCAGGAUGAUAUUCUUCCAAAAAAAUCAUGAUGCCGAAGGUUUCAUUCUAUUUGGACUCCGUUUGAUAUUCCUUUUCUUCGAAAUAUUGAGACAGGCAAUAAAACAACAAUGUGGGCUGGGCCUCCGGUUAGUAGGUUAGUCCCAGAAAUGAUAUAAAUAUGUAAAAUAAAGCCCAUAAACAUCCAAAAGGGGUAAUAUAAUAGCAUGGAACAAUCAAAAAUUAUAGAUACGUUGGAGACGUAUCAAGCAUCCCCAAGCUUAAUUCCUGCUCGUCCUCGAGUAGGUAAAUGGUAAAAACAGAAUUUUUGAUGUGGAAUGCUACCUAGCAUAAUUCUCAAUGUAAUUUUCUUUAUUGUGGCAUGAAUGUUCAGAUCCAAAUGAUACAAAAUAAAAGUUCAUAUUAACAUGAAAAUGGUGAUACUUCAAGCAUACUAAUCAAAGUAAUCAUGUCUUCUCAAAAUAACAUGGCUAAAGAAAGUUAUCCCUACAAAAUCAUAUAGUCUGGCUGUUGCUCUAUCUUCAUCACACAAAAUAUUUAAUCAUGCACAACCCCGAUGACAAGCCAAGCAAUUGUUUCAUACUUUAAUAAUCUCAAACUCUUUCAACUUUCACGCAAUACAUGAGCGUGAGCCAUGGACAUAGCACUAUAUGUGGAAUAGAAUGGUGGUUGUGGAUAAUACAAAAAGGAGAAGAUAGUCUCACAUCAACUAGGCGUAUCAACGGGCUAUGGAGAUGCCCAUCAAUAGAUAUCAAUGUGAGUGAGUAGGGAUUGCCAUGCAACAGAUGCACUAGAGCUAUAAAUAUAUGAAAGCUCAACAAAAGAAACUAAGUGGGUGUGCAUCCAACUUGCUUGCUCACGAAGACCUAGGGCAUUUUGAGGAAGCCCAUCAUUGGAAUAUACAAGCCAAGUUCUAUAAUGAAAAAUUCCCACUAGUAUAUGAAAGUGACAACAUAUGAGACUCUCUAUCAUGAAGAUCAUGGUGCUACUUUGAAGCACAAGUGUGUAAAAAGAGAUAAUAGCAUUGUCCCUUCUCUCUUUUUCUCUCAUUUUAUUUUAUUUCUUUUUCUUUUUUUCCUUUUUCUCUUUUUUGUUUUUUCUUUGGCCUUUCUCUUUUUUUUCUUUUUGGCUUUUUUUUGUAAAGUCCGAAGUCUCAUCCCGACUUGUGGGGGAAUCAUAGUCUUCAUCAUCCUUUCCUCACUAAGACAAUGCUCUAAUAAUGAAGAUCAUCACACUUUUAUGGAUUUACAACUCAAAGCUAGAACAAGAUAUGACUCUAUAUGAAUGCCUCCGGCGGUGUACCAGGAUAUGCAAUGAAUCAAGAGCGACAUGUAUGAAAAUUAUGAAGGUGGCCUUGCCACAAAUACUAUGUCAACUACAUGAUCAUGCAAAAAGCAAUAAGACAAAAUUAAUGCGUGUCAUGAUGAUGAUGAACGGAACGAUGGAAAGUUGCAUGGAAAUAUAUCUCGGAAUGGCUAUGGAAAUGCCAUAAUAGGUAGGUAUGAUGGCUGUUUUGAGGAAGGUAAAUGGUGAGUAUAUGGUACCGGCGAAAGUUGCGCGGUACAAGAGAGGCUAGCAAUGGUGGAAGGGUGAAAGAGUGCAUAUAAUCCAUGAACUCAACAUUAAUCAAAAGAACUCAUAUACUUAUUGCAAAAAUUUAGAAGUCAUCAAAAACCAAAGCACUACGUGCAUUCUCCUUGGGGGAUAUAUUGGUAGGAAAAGACCAUCGCUCGUCCCCGACCGCCACUCAUAAGGAAGACAAUCAAUAAAUAAAAUUGUGCUCCAACUUCAUCACAAAGUGAUUCACCAUACGUGCAUGUUACGGGAAUCACAAACUUCAACACAAGCAUUCUUUAAAUUCAUAAUCACCCAACUAGCAUGACUUUAAUAUCACUACCUCCAUAUCUCAAAACAAUUAUCAAGUAUCAAAUUGAUCAUAGCAUCCAAUUCACUUCCUAUGAUAGUUUUCAUUAUACCCAACUUGGAUGCCUACCAUUCUAGGACCAAUUUUGAGAUCAUAGCAAAUACCAUGCUGUUCUAAAAGACUCUCAAAAUAAUAUAAGUGAAUCAUGAGAGACUAGCAAUUUCUACAAAAUAUAAACACCGCCGUGCUCUAAAAUAUAUAAGUGAUGCACUAGAGCAAAUGAAAAACUACUCCGAAAGAUAUAAGUGAAGAACAAUGAGUAGCUAAAUAAUUAUGUAACUAUGCGAAGACUCUCUAACAUUAAGGAAUUUCAUAUCUUGGUAUUGUAUUCAAACAUCAAGCAAAACAAAAUAAAAUUACAUUGCAAGGAUAGCACAACUCAUGUGAAGAAGCAAAAACUUAGGCUCAACCGAUACUAACCGAUAGUUGUUGAAGAAGAAAGGUGGGAUGCCUACCGGGGCAUCCCCAAGCUUAGAUGCUUGAGACUUCUUGAAAUAUUUUCUUGAGGUGCCUUGGGCAUCCCCAAGCUUGAACUUUUGUCUCUCCUUAAUUCCUCUCAUAUCAUGGUUUCUCUAUUUCUCAAAAAGCUUCAUUCACAACAAACUCAACAAGAACUCGUGAGAUAGGUUAGUAUAAACCAAUGCAAAACCUUAUCAUUUUCUACUGUAGCAAAUCAUUAAAAUUAUUAUUCAAAAUUUCAUACUAAAUGCCUCUGCAUAUUUAAUACUCCUAUCCUCAAAUAGAAUCAUUAAACAAGCAAACAUAUGCAAACAAUGCAAACAUAACAGCAAUCUGCCAAAACAGUACAGUCUGUAAAGAAUGCAAGAGUAUCAAUACUUCCCUAACUCCAAAAAUUAUGAAAUAAAAUUCCCACUGCAGUAAAUUUAUCAGAGAUCAUUAUGAAAAAAGUUUCAACAUUAUAUCGUGCUCUGACUUUUCUAGGGAAUUUUUGCAACAGCGGUAAACUUUCUGUUUUCAAACAGCAACAUGUAUACUAGCAAAAUAAGCAUGGCAAAGGCUAUCCUUGACAUUUUUAUUGAAAAUAAAGAUGAAAAACAUUAAUCUAAACAACAGCAAGCAAAUACUAACACAAGAAAAUGACUCUCCAAGCAAAACACAUAUCAUGUGGUGAAUAAAAAUAUAGCUCCAAGUAAAGUUACCGAUGAACGAAGACGAAAGAGGGGAUGCCUUCUGGGGCAUCCCCAAGCUUAGGCUCUUGGUUUUCCUUGAAUAUUACCUUGGGGUGCCUUGGGCAUCCCCAAGCUUAGGCUCUUGCCACUCCUUAUUCCAUGGUCCAUCAAAUCUUUACCCAAAACUUGAAAACUCCAUAACACAAAACUCAACAGAAAACUCGUAAGCUCCGUUAGUAUAAGAAAAUAAAACAACCACUUAGGUACUGUAAUGAACUCAUUCUAAAUUCAUAUUGGUGUAAUAUCUACUGUAAUACAACUUAUCUAUGGUUCAUAACCUCCGGUACUACUCAUAGAUUCAUCAAAAUAAGCAAACAACACAUAGAAAACAGAAUCUGUCAAAAACAGAACAAUCUGUAGUAAUCUGUAUCAAACGUAUGCUUCUGGAACUCCAAAAAUCCUACCAAAUUAGGAAGUCCUAAGAAAUUUGUGUACCAAUCCAGAGAAAAAAUAAUCAGAUCAGAAGCACGUUUCUAUGUAUUAACAAAACUAAAUUACUGGGUGCAAAAGUUUCUGAUUUUCAGCAGGAUCAACACAACUAUCACCGUAAGCUAUCCUAAAGGUCUUACUUGGCACUUUAUUGAAACAAAAGCUAUAAAACAUGAUUACUACAGUGGCAUAAUCAUGUGAACACACAAAAACAGUAAGGAUAAAUGUUGGGUUGUCUCCCAACAAGCGCUUUUCUUUAAUGCCUUUCUAGCUAGGCAUGAUGAUGGCAAUGAUGCUCACAUAAAAGAUAAGAAUUGAAACAUAACGGGAGUAUCAUGAAGCAUACGACUAGCACAUUUAAGCCUAACCCACUUCCUAUGCAUAGGGAUUUUGUGAGCAAACAACUUAUGGGAACAAUAAUCAACUAGCAUAGGAUGGUAAAAUAAGCAUAGCUUCAAAACUUGAAGCACAUAGAGAGGAAACUUGACAUUAUUACAAUUCCUACAAGCAUAUAUUCCUCCCUUAUAAUAAUUUUUAGUAGCAUCAUGAAUGAAUUCAACAAUAUAACCAGCAACCAAAGCAUUCUUUUCAUGAUCUACAAGCAUAGAAAAUUUACUACUCUCCACAUAAGCAAAAUUCUUCUCAUCAAUAUUCGUGGGAGCAAACUCAACAAAAUAAUUAUCAUGUGAGGCAUAAUCCAAUUGAAAACUAAAAUCAUGAUGACAAGUUUCAUGGUUAUCAUUAUUCCUAAUAGCAUACAAGUCAUCACAAUAAUCAUCAUAGAUAGCAACUUUGUUCUCAUAAUCAAUUGGAACCUCUUCCGAAAUAGUGGAAUCAUCACUAAAUAAAGUUGACACUCUUCCAAAUCCACUUUCAUAUUCAUCACAAUAAGAUUCAACAUCCUCCAAAAUAGUGGGAUCACUACUUCCUAAAGUUGACACUCUUCCAAACCCACUUUCAUCAAUAUAACCAUCAUAAAUAAUAGGCAUGCUAUCAUCAUAAUAAAUUUGCACAUCAAAACUUGGGGGGCUAAAAAUGUCAUAUUCAUCAAACAUAGCUUCCCCAAGCUUGUGGCUUUGCAUAUCAUUAGCAUCAUGGAUAUUCAAGAAAUUCAUACUAACAACAUUGCAAUCAUGCUCAUCAUACAAAGAUCUAGUACCAAGCAUUUUAAUGCAUUCUUCUUCUAACACUUGAGCACAAUUUUCCUUUCCAUCAUUCUCACGAAAGAUAUUAAAAAGAUAAAGCGUAUGAGACAAACUUAACUCCAUUUUUUGUAGUUUUCUUUUAUAAACUAAACUAGUGAUAAAACAAGAAACAAAAAGAUUCGAUUGCAAGAUCUAAAGAUAUACCUUCAAGCACUCACCUCCCCGGCAACGGCGCCAGAAAAGAGCUUGAUGUCUACUACACAACCUUCUUCUUGUAGACGUUGUUGGGCCUACAAGUGCACAGGUUUGUAGGACAGUAGCAAAUUUCCCUCAAGUGGAUGACCUGAGGUUUAUCAAUCCGUGGGAGGCGUAGGAUGAAGAUGGUCUCUCUCAAAAAACCCUGCAACCAAAUGACAAAGAGUCUCUUGUGUCCCCAACACACCCAAUACAAUGGUAAAUUGUAUAGGUGCACUAUUUCGGCAAAGAGAUGGUGAUACAAGUGCAAUAUGGAUAGUAGAUAUAGGUUUUUGUAAUCUGAAAAUAUAAAAACAGCAAGGUAACUAAUGAUAAAAGUGAGCGUAAACGGUAUUGCAAUGAUAGGAAACAAGGCCUAGGGUUCAUACUUUCACUAGCGCAAGUUCUCUCAACAAUAAUAACAUAGAUAGAUCAUAUAACCAUCCCUCAACAUGCAACAAAGAGUCACUCCAAAGCCACUAAUAGCGGAGAACAAACGUAGAGAUUAUGGUAGGGUACGAAACCACCUCAAAGUUAUUCUUUCGGAUCGAUCUAUUCAAGAGUUCGUACUAGAAUAACACCUUAAGACACAAAUCAACCAAAACCCUAAUGUCACCUAGAUACUCCAUUGUCACCUCAAGUAUCCGUGGGCAUGAUUAUACGAUAUGCAUCACACAAUCUCAGAUUCAUCCAACCAACACAAAGUACUUCAAAGAGUGCCCCAAAGUUUCUACUAGAGAGUCAAGAACGUGUGCCAACCCCUAUGCAUAGGUUCAUGGGCGGAACCCGCAAGUUGGUUACCAAAACAUACAUCAAGAGGCACGUGAUAUCCCAUUGUCACCACAGAUAAACACGGCAAGACAUACAUCAAGUGUUCUCAAAUAAAGACUCAAUCCAAUAAGAUAACUUCAAGAGGGAAACUCAAUUCAUCACAAGAGAGUAGAGGGGGGGGGGGAGAAACAUCAUAUGAUCCAACUAUAAUAGCAAAGCUCGCGAUACAUCAAGAUCGUGUGAAGUCGAGAACACGAGAGAGAGAGAUCAAACACAUAGCUACUGGUACAUACCCUCAGUCCCGAGGGUGAACUACUCCCUCCUCGUCAUGGAGAGCGCCGGGAUGAUGAAGAUGGCCACCGGUGAUGGAUCCCCCCUCCGGCAGGGUGUCGGAACGGGCUCCCGAGAGGUUUUUGGUGGCUACAGAGGCUUGCGGCAGCGGAACUCCCUAUCUAUCUUGGUUUUCGAUGGUUUUAGGGUACGUAGGCAUAUAUAGGCAAAAGAAGUCGGUCGGGAGGUGCUCGAGGGGUCCACGAGACAAGGGGCCUCGCCCUGUAGGGGGGGGGGGCGCCCCCUAUCUCCUGGGCUCCUCGAGGGUCUUCUGACUUGAUCUCCAAGCCUCCAGGAUGACAUUCUUCCAAAAAAUCACGAUGCCUAAGGUUUCAUUCCGUUUGGACUCCGUUGAUAUUCCUUUUCUUCGAAAUACUGAAACAGGCAAUAAAACGACAAUAUGGGCUGGGCCUCCGGUUAGUAGGUUAGUCCCAAAAAUGAUAUAAGUAUGUAAAAUAAAGCCCAUAAACAUCCAAAAGGGGUAAUAUAAUAGCAUGGAACAAUCAAAAAUUAUAGAUACGUUGGAGACGUAUCAUCGGAGCCUGUGACGGCGGCGUCUGUGGACGACGUAACCUUCUUGAAGGCAACGGUAGGAUGCUCUCUGUUCCUCUAAGAGGGACAGCUCCGGGGGAAACCCCAGACCCGAAGGGUCGAUCGUUGGUGGUGUGUUGGCGUUGUUUCCCUCUUGAGGGCAUCAAUUUUGGAGUUCACAAUCCGGUCAAAGGGACCAGCGGGUGUGUUGGGAGGUUGGUGGUAUGCAUUGGUGUGGCGUCGAGGCUUCUGUGGCCACGACGAUAGGGCAAGUGAAGUCGGUGACAUUGCAGUGGUAGCCGGCUCUUCUUCGGUGUGUUCGUGGGAUUACCUUGGUUUGGUUGUUGUGGUGAAGUCGGAGUUGCGGCAGCGGGACCCAUGUGGCAACAAUGACAGGCAGCAGGUGGUCUAUUUGGUGGUCUUCCAUGACACAAGUCUUGCAUAGUUCUCCUUUGGAUCUUGCUUCAGAGUCGGAGCUGCAUCACCCUCAAUGCGGGUGGUUGAGUUUUGGCAUGGAUCUUCAUGUUUUCCUACACAGCCUCUGUGGUGAGUGUUGGUUCGACGUUCGUCCACGGCGAAGUCGAAGUCGCUUGCUCGGGGAUUAGGGAUGGCGAUGAUGCAUGUUUGGGGAGAAGUGAUGAUGAUGAUGUUCUUCUGCAUAUAUGCGCUCCUCAACGCCCUCACCAUCGUCUUCGGCAUGGCAGUCGGCUACAUAGCCGUCGACUACUUCGACGUGUCGUGCAGCCAGGUGACCCUCUCGCUCGCAUGCUUGACAGCUUCACAUUGCGCCAAGCUGAUAUAUGGUGUUCCUCUGUAGCUCUCCUCCAUUCUGCCGUGUGUUGAGCUGACGGACGCGGAGUCCGCCUGGUUGGCCGCCCUCUCAACCAGGAUUCUGUGCUGCGCCCCAACCUAGGCGGCCGCAGCGGCGAUGGUGCUGCUGCUCCCAUGCCGCGUUGCCAGGCCCGCCGCGCCCUCGCCUACCUCGCGCUCGCGGUCACCUUCCUCUUCCAUUGCAUCUACGCCGGCGCCGUUUGGAUCUUCCUCGCUGCCGACCCAGGAUACAUCUUCGGCAAGAUCUUUUUUACCGUGGUCAUCUGCCUCAUCCUGGUGUGCAAUCUGACCUGCCUGUCUGAUCUCCUUUAAGGUGAUGGGUGGGGCAAGCAGUAGGCAGUACACUGCCUAAUAGUUCAGCUAGCAGCAAGCUGCAAGGGAUCAUGUUCGUGGUCGUGGACCAGCUCAUGAGGUACAUAUGAGAGCGUAGUUCUAGGGAAUAAUGUAGAGUAUGCAUGCAUUACUUCUGCUGUGACGAUUGAUGGAGUACUGCUGUAUUUGCGAAUCUAGUAGCUGGUCUAGUGUUAAUAUCUAGAUCGACUCCAUUUGAGCAAUGCUUUGCUGGCUAUAUAAUUAGACUCGAUGAAUUGUGGCUAUGUUUGAUGUAUUCGACCUUAAUUUUCUCUAUAUGUGAUCGUCAGACAUGAGUUAUAUGCUUAUUUAGCACCAGCUACGGUAUAAUUGAUGUUGCUGAAAUUGCUGCUGCAGUGUAUAUCCAUGUUGCUG
rnacentral:lncRNA from 1 species